UUCUUUUUUUGUGUGUGCGUGCAGGCAGGCAGUACGUGGAAUCAUGCAAUCUUAUUUAAAAUGCACUUGUGAAGAGGUUGCAUUUUGACAAUCUUGGGAGGGUAGGGACUUGUAUAAAUAGCAAUAGUUCCUCAAGGAUCUUAAGAAUUUCAUUCGGAUCUCGCAGCAUAAGUUGUGCAUUAAUCUUUGUUGUCAACAAGUAUCUACUUAGCUUCUUUUGACCGUAUCAGGUGAUGGAUGAGCUGGAUUUAGCAUGUCCUUAGCAUUAUGGAAAUCUGCAUCUUCAAAGCGGAUGGUUCAGGCAAAACUCUUAGAUUUAUAUAGUAAGGAAACUGGUUGGGACACUAAAUUUGCUGUAAAUUGUAAUGUUGUUACCUUCUCUUUCUCUUUCUCUCUCUCUCCUCUCUCUCAAAUAGAUUAUGGUAAAGUUUGAUAGUUUGCAAAUCUUAAAGCGCUCAGUCUAAAGGUUUGCUGUUGGCAAGAUUGACAUGCCUUGUAGUAGGCUUUAAGUACACUUGAACUACUCUUGGUCGCCUAUUUACCAGGGUAUGUUGCUAUAUAGUAAUUUUCAUCUUCUCAAGCUUAAACUUUGUAUAUAUAACUUGGGAAGUUUUAACUAAUGAAAAGUGCUGAUGAAUCAGUACAACUCAUGGACAUGGUCACCUCAGUCCACAGGCCAACAAAACUGAUCAAAUAAACAAACUAGGUUUAUUUACAAAGUCUAUUCAAGUCUAGAGUACAACAAACAAUAACACUAAUUCUUUUGACUCUUUACACAUCUAUCUGCUUGGUUAAAAAUAGUUACAAUUGAAGCUAAUGUAUAAAAUGGUAUGCAGAGCUAUUGCGUAGAAGUACCACGUCCAGCCUUAGACGCAAUGAAAGACUCUUCAGACACACAACGAUAACAUGAAUCAAGGAAGAGAUGGAGAGAAUAAAAAAAUAGUAAUUUUAGUACUUUAACAGUUCAGACUUACAGUAUAUAAAAAAAUUCAGAAAUAUAAUCUUGAUUAUACAAGCCUUUUCUUUUUUUUAGAAUCCUUUUACCAAAAUUUUAUUGGAAAUGACACUGUCCUCUUUUAAGGUUCACUGUGAUGAUCAAUAGAAGUGUCAAUUUUUACAACUUUCUAAAAAAGCCUCAAGUAAUAGACUUUAACACAUGAUUAUAAAGUAUUUGAGAUGACCAUAACUCUUCGUUUGUAAAUAGUCUUCAGUGAUUUUGAUUUCACAAUGUUUGGUGAGAAAUUAAAACGACUUGAGAUGCAAUUGAUUCAAAGCAUAGUUCUAAAUUAAAAAUUCUCACGGAAUAAAAAAGAUAACAAAAUAAAGAAGACAAUGUUGCAAAGAAGAGGAUCUUAAAAACUCUCUUUAGCACUUUCACAUGUCGGAGAAGUUCUAUAAGCUUUCUUAAGAGACGUGGAUGUAACUUGUUACUUAUCUUUAGCUUUUGUUUAUGUUAUUUUGUAUUUGAGUUUGUUUUUUUAAAGUUGUUUAAGGCUAAUCUUUUAUCCUUUUUUUUGUUUUGUUUUGUUUUGAACUAUUUUUAUUAAUAAAAUUUAGCCUCUUUGGCCAUUUUGUUUAAAAGAAGAAGAAGAGAAGAAGUUUUUAAUCAACGAAGAAAAUCAUGACACACAUAAAGUAUAAUAGAUCACUUUCUAAAAUAAAAAUUUUGAUAAAGAAGAGGAGAUUUAAUUAACUAUGGGACAUCAAAGUGAAUAAAAUAUUGAUAUUAAUCAAAGUUUAUUAUUUACAAUAGUGCAAAAAAUAUUAUUGACUUUAUAUAAAUUUGAUUUUAAAAAAUUAUCUAUUUGCAUGUGAAAAUACUGUGAUAGUAUGUUACUCUACAAGACAAUCAAGUUCUGCUAUCAUGUCGAUGAAAGUGUCCGUUUUAUUUAAUUGUUAUUAUGAACAAGUCAUACAAAAACCUUGACUGAGACAACGAGAUGACGAACAAAAUGACAAACAAGACUGUAUUUGACUGAGCUUAAAAUUCGACAUAUCCAAAAGAUAUUUGUUAUACUUACAAAAAUAAUACCAUUAAUAACAAUAUUUGAAAAACUAGUACAUAAAAUUGGACAACAUCAUCUACAAAAAUUAAUCGAUAUUUUAAUUAGACUGGUGUGUGUUGUAGUACAUGUACUAUUUUUUCCUUAGUCAAGCUUUUCUUUCGUUAGAUUUUUUUGGCAAGAUUUUUAAUGAAGCAAUUAAUAAUGCAUAUUACUAGAUAUAUGACUUGUUUUUUUUAUUGAAAUAUUUUUCACAAGCUUUUUUCUAAUAAGAUUUUAACACGGUACAUUAUCUAUCUAAAUAUAAACAUCCAAAAUAAAAUAUUAUGAAAUAAUAAAUUUGAAUAUUAAUUUAUGCUCCGGAGCGUUUAUGGUACGCCCGCCUCGAAACUCGCCCCGAAAAUGUUUUUGAAAAUACUGAUUAGUAAUAUAAUAUUUUGCGAGUUUGGAUUUAAUCGAGCUCAAAUUGGAGUAUGAAAAAACAAAAAAGGGCAAAGGGUCAAAUAUACCCUUGUACUAUAUGAAAUAGUUUAAAUAUACCCUUAGUUAUACUUUUGGGCUAAAUAUACCCUUUUCGUUAUACUUUCAGACUAAGUAUACCCUUAUCACUAACAGAGGACACGUGGACGGCUAAAAUUAAAAGAAUUAUUUAAUUUAAAAUAAAUCAAAUUCGAAUAUAACCCGCCCCGAAUAAUUUAACUCAACCUAAUCAAUUCGGCUACCAUUCUUGGCAACUCUGUCAAGCUUCUUUGCAUCAUCAUGAAAUAUAAAGUCAAUUGUGUCAUUGUAAUCCAGAAACUCUUCCAUUGUUUACCAAUGCUCACCUGAGUUGUUCCAUUGGCAGCAUUCUUGAUCCAUAGAGCUAUUUUUUCUUGUCUAACUUGAACAUUAAUAAUCACUCCACAAAUUUCAUCUCCAAAUUUCUCUCCAGUCAGUGCCAACAUCAUGUACAGCCAGCUGGUGGGUCCAUGUUAUAGAAAAGCUCAUCGUUCACUUCCCUCCAUUGACACAUACAGGUGGAUCAAUGUUAUAAAUUAGGUCGGGUUAAAUUAUUUGGGCGGGGCAGGUUAUAUCCAAAUUUAAUAUAUUUUAAAUUGAAUAGUUUUUUUAAUCUUAACCGUUCAUGUGUUUUCUGUUAGUCAUAAUGAUAUAUUUAGCCCAAAAAUAUAACAAGAGAAAUAUAUUUAGCCCAAAAAUAUAACAGGAGAAAUAUAUUUAGCCCAAAAGUAUAACUAAGAAUAUAUUUAAACUAUUUCAUAUAGUACAGUACAGGGUAUAUUUGACCCUUUACCCGAAAAAAAAAAGUUAGGAACUUUCCAUGGCCUAAAGCAAGAAGUUUCUAAUAUCUUGAAUCCCUUUGUUUCCAUUGUCUCUUUCUUUGACUCUACACAUUCUUUCAUCUGCCCCAUUCCUGAAGGCUAUUGAGUCUUUGGGGCUCUCCAAGAUUUGAUAUUUAGGGGAGCUCUUCUUUCCUUGAGCCUACAUUUUUUAUUCUUGACAUCAAUCUCCAACACCCAUUUGCUUCAACUACAGAGAAAAUCCCUCCAGAUUUUUUCUGGGUUUACUCUUCUUCUUUUUCUGUGAAUUUUUGUUUUUGGCUAAAGGGGUUUCAGAGCAAAGGGUUUUCUAUGGAUUCUCAAGUUCUUGUUGCUCUUGGUCUUUCAUUGUUGGGUGGAUUGAGUACCUCUCUAGGUGAGUAAAAAGUUCCUUUUUUUUAUUUCUUUGUUUGGAAUAGUUUAUUUUCUCUUUUGUAAAAUUGGAUUAAUUAUCAGAGCCUGAAAGUGCUCUAAUCUUAUGUUUUUCUUCUCCAAUUAUCACAUAGCUAGAGAAAAAUAAAACUUAUGUGACCUUGUUUGACCAGGGGAUGGAGGAGUUUAAGAAACAGAAUUGUUUUUGAAACUUGUGGUCUUAUUAAGCCAUAAAGAUUUAUCUGGCAAUGGAUAAGGUAUUUAAGAAGUUAAAUUAUUUGUAAAUAUAGAUAUGAGUCAAUUUCUUGGAUAAACUAAAAGGCUGAGUGUACCACAUAAAUUGAGACAGAUGAAGUAAGUUUUUUUGAGUAAUGGAAGUCAAAGUGUGGCCUUUUUCAUUUUUUGUGCUCAAUCCUGUGUCUUUUCUGUAAGCAUAGUGAAAACCAUAUUGCUAAAACUUCAAUAUUUAUAGUCCCACUUAGCUCAUAAAAACUGUAUAAUAUUAAUUGGAGACUGAUGGCGCUAUUACUUUAUGGUGGUUGUUUCCAUCUCCUUUGUGUGUUUUGAGUUUCUAGAGUGUUUGAAGCUACAAGGGUCCUCCCUAAAGAAAGUUUAGUAAUCUGAUCUAUUUUUUCUUAUCUGCAGGUGCACUUUUUGUGGUUAUUAGCCAGGCUCCUAACUUGAAGAUGCUAGGACUUUUACAGGUGAUGGUUAAUCGUAUUUGUAAGAAUGUCAGAAGUAAAAUGGUUAAUUCAAGUGAUUCAUGGUUUCUUUGUCACUUGCUUGUUUAAGCAUGUUGUCUGGUAAAUGUUUACUGUCGGUUAUUUUAUAUAUUUUCUGACUUGAGUAUUUUAAAUUUUGAGCUGAAGAAAAGGAUCAUUUGAUUUUUAACUACUGAUGGUUUAAGCUUCCUGAGCUUAAAAGAACUCAUUAUGGUCAGAUGUGGAAAUGCCAAGAGGUACAUAGAUAGCAGAGAACUGAACCUGAAUAAUUUCUUUGGUUGUGCAGGGGUUUGCUGCUGGUCUUAUGCUUAGCAUAUCAUUCUUUGACUUGGCUCAUAAUGCUAUAAACUCCAUUGGCUUCUUAAAAGGAAACCUCUGGGUGAGCUAUCUCCUAAUUUUAUUUUGAACUUUUUCAAUCUGUUUUCCACUUAAAGAAGAAACAUACAGUUCUUGGAUCUUAAUUGCGAAUCUCUGGACUGUCAGUUUUUUGCAGGUGUUAUCUUCUUUGCUCUUGUUUCAAAUUUCAUCCCGGAACCUACACUUGCACCCAUUUCAAGUGCCAAAGGCAAAAAGGUAUGGUGUGAUUUGUUUUUUAUAGGAGAAAAUCUCGUUUAUGCAAAAACUAUCAAAGAAUAAAAAUGGUUUUCUGCAUGAGAACAGAAAGACGGAGAUGAUAGGGGUAAGGAUAUUAUGAAGAAGCAUCGCCGCCAAGUUUUAUUUAGUGGAAUCAUCACAGCAGUAGGUUAGUCUGCUGUAUUGGUUUGUUGAUAAUUCCCAUAGAUUUUACAGCAUUUUUUGAUUCUGUUAUGCUGUAAACCCUCCAUUUGAGUUCUCAUUUGAAGAACUCUGAAUUGUUUGUGAACUAGAUCUGAUUAAGUGCUGAUAGUGGAAGCCUAUUUUUGACAUUUCUUGUUGUGUCAGAGUCUCUUUACAAAUAUGGUAUGCAAGAGCACAUACAUUCUUAAAAUAAAUCUAGCUGAUUCUUCAUUUUUAUGUCUCUGAAGUAGUUUGUGAACUAGGUCUGAUGAAGUGCAAAUUGUGGAAGCCCAUUUUUGACGUUUCUUGUUGUUUCAGAGUCACUAUACAAAUAUUUUAUGCCAGAGUACAUAUAUGCUUAAAAUAAAUCUUGCUUUAAUCUUCAUUUUUAUGUCUCUGAAGUAGUAGCACUCCCCACCUACAUGAGAAAUUUUAUUAGGAAGUUAACUUAGAUUUCUAAUAAGUAUAUUGCCCCCAAUUUAAGCAUAGUCUUGAACAAAAUAAUUAAGAGUGAUAUAGUGUGGCCUGUAUAAUUUACCUGGAGUUUUUUCAAAAUUCUUAUCUGGAGUCUUGUUCAGUUUCCACAGUGCUAAGUUAUGAGAAGAAUAUUACAAAUCUUACUAAAUUUGUUUUUUCUAUCUAGUUUGUCGUUAGAAUUAGUUGUUGGUAGGAGGUGCUAGGUAUCCAGUGGAAUUAGUCGAGGUGCGUGAAAGCUGGCCUAGACAUCAUGGUUAUAUGAAGAAAAAAGAAGAAUUUAAGUUUACCCUUCAGCUAAGGUUCUAGUAGGUGCUAGAUGCACAGUCUUGUGGUUAAAUAAUCCCUUUCUGUUCAUUCCUUAUUGUCUGUAGCGAAAGUCAAGUCUCUAUUUGGACUGUUGUGGUGUAACUUAUUUAUGCUGUAAUAUGUAAGGUCUUCCUAUAGUAAAAGUAGAUUUCCCUCAAUAGUUUGUAGAAAACCAUACUCCCUCCGUCCUGUUUUAUGUGAAGAAGUUUGGAAUAAGAGGGUCAAAGCCCCAAAUUUUCAUUUGAAUCUGGCAUAAAAUUUUCUUUUCUUCUGAAAUAAAAUUUACAUAUUCUGAUAACUGCAUGGAAAGUACUACAAGUCUGUUGAGUUAAUAAUUUAAAAUAUUUGAAAAAGUUUUAUAAACUUGUAUUAGUAAAAGAAAACUAUUUGACUCCCCAAUAGUAAUAGUGUCAUUUAUCUAUUGCACAGGGAGCCCCCUCCCCCGCGUACCUCUUUUCUUUUUCUUUUCUCUUAAAAGGAACACCCCACGUUUUGUUACAGAAUGAAUGCUCAUUUACCUACAAAUUCUCUCCCAUCUAAUUCAAGGGACCACAUUUCUAAGUAUGAGAUAUUCCUAAAUUUUCAAGACUACUUUAGCAAAUAAGAAUUCUAUAGUACUUGCACAUAUUUCUAGCAAUCAAAAUUCAUUUAUCAAGUUAUUGAGCUACUUGUACUGAUAUACUAUACAAGUCAAAUUGACUUCUUAAUCUCCAUUUCUUCUUAAAUUACACUUAAUAUAAUUAGAUGAAAGGACUGGCAAUAUGGAAAUAGAAGAGAAUAAUAUAUGCAUUUGAACCAUAACUUCAUUCAUUAUAGGAUGUCUUACAUGGUUUGUAUUGGCUUUUCUGUCCAGGUAUAAGCUUGCACAACUUUCCUGAAGGGAUGGCUGUGUUCCUUGGAUCAAUGAAGGUAGUUCUCCUUUCUUGAUUGUCUGAUGUUUAUAAUCUUGUAUAGUGAUCACCUUAGUCAUUGUUGCUUGACCUAUGAUAUUUUGUUUCAUUCUAUUUUAAGAACCGUAAGGGUAACAAUGUUUCAAUUAAUAAAUGGCACCUCAAAUCCAAAAAUGGUUGGAGUCGGCUGUAUGUAUCAUCUAUAUCUAUACCAGGUACCCUAUGGGAUAGUCGAGAUGUUGGUAAGUUGGUCCGCUCACCCGUGGGGUCUGGGAAGGGAGAUGUACACAAACCUUACCCUACCUUUGUGGGGUAGAUAGGUUGUUUUUUGAUAGACCCUCAACUCAAAAGAGAAGUUAUUCAAAGCAGAGUUGCAAGACAAAUAUGACAACAAAAUAUCAAGAUACAAAGCAAAUGCAACAACAUAUAAUAGAAAACAUUGAAGAAUAAGAAACUAUGCAAUUAUUAAAUACUACUACUAAUAAGGUGAAGAGGAGAUGGGGCUAGCCCCUUGUGUCUCCCACCUAAAGUGUGACAAUACUCGGCUUCCUCCAAGUCUUCUACCCUAAUCCUUAACAUCCAUACCUUCAUAUCUAAGGUCAUGUCUUUAGUAAGCUGAAGUUGUGCCAUGUCUUGUGUAAUCACCUUCUCCAAUUCUUUUUCGACCUACCUCUACUCUCAUAACACCUCUUCUAACUCCCACUAUAACCAACCUCUAACAUCUCCUUACUGGCACAUCCACAUACCCUUUCUUCACAUGCCCAAACCAUCUCUAUUCACUUCCCUCAUCUUGUCUUCCACAGAGGUCAAGCCCACCUUGUACUGUCUAACUUCGUUUCUAAUCAUAUCUCUCUUAGUACGCCCACACAUCCAUCUGUGCAUCUUUAUCUCCACUACAUUCAUCUUUUGAAUGUGGGCGUUCUUGACUAACCAACACUUUGUCCCAUAUAACAAAGUUGAUUUGAUCACCGCCCUGUAGAACUUACCCUUGACAACACACUCUUAUCGUGUAGUACCUUGGAUGCAAACCUUAAUCUCGACCACCUCGCACCAAUACAAUGUGUGACAUCAUCAUCGAUCUCCUCAUCUCCUUGGAUCAUGGACCCCAAGAUGCUUGAAGCUUCCUCUCUUACGUAUGACUUGUGCAUUGAUCUUCACUUUCACCUUGUCCUCACACAUUACAUAUCUAAACUUGCACUCCAAUUACGGUGUUUUUGUCCGGCUUUACCUGAAACCUUUAGACUUUACGGUCUAUCUCCGAAGUUCCAACCUAUCAUUAAUUCCACCUCACAUCUCAUCAAUAAAUACUAUGUCAUCUGCGAACUCCACAACACCUCCCUUUGAAUAUGCUGUGUCAAUUUGUCCAUCAAUAAGGCAAAUAGGAACAGGCUGAGAGAUGGUUUUAGGUACAACCCAUCAUGACCGAAAAGUGUUUCGAGUCACCUCCCAUUGUUCUAGCCCAGGUCUUGAUUCCACCGUACAUGUCCUUAAUUGCUCUAAUUUAAGUCUGAGGUACACCUCUAGCCUUUAAACAUAUUUAUAGGAUCUCCAUAGGCACUUUAUCGUGCACCUUUUCUGGGUCGAUGAAUAUUAUGCCUAAGUUCCUCUUCAUGUCUCUAUACUGCUCUUAACAAUCUCCUUGUAAGAUGGAUGACUUUUGUAGUUCAUUGUCUCAACAUGAAGCCGAGUUGGUUUUAGAUAUAGAUACACCCUCCUCAUCCUCAUUUCGACCACCUUCUCCCGAACUUUCAUAGUAUUGCUUAGUAGCUUCAUACCCCUAUAGCUGUUGCAAUGUUGAAUAUCACCCUUUUUCUUAUAUGUAUUAUUGUACUUCACCUCCAUUCUUCUGGCAUUUUAGCUGUCCUAAAAAUGACAUCAAACAACCCAGUCAACCACUCCAUACCUGCUUCAUCUGUGGUCUUCCAAAAUUUCAUUGGUAUCUCGUCUAGCCUGGUUGCUCUUUCGCUCAUACGAAUAGGCCCCUUAACCUCCACAACCUUUAUGCACCUACAACACCCAAAAUUUCUACGACUCUCGGAAUGCUUUAACUCCCCCAACACGAUAUCCCUGUCCCUUUCUUCAUUCAAGAGCUUAUGCAAAUAUGUCUGCCAUCUCCGUCUAAUGUGUGCCUCUUAUACCAACAAUUCACCAUUUUUUUGUGGGGGUAAUACUUCGUCAUUCUCAUCCUUGAUAUACUUCAUAUGAUCCAGGUCACAAGCUUAUACAAUUUCCUACACCCUUCCUUCCCCUCGAGCUCUUUAUUCAAAUACUCAAAAGCUGUCCUUUUAGCAGCCAUGACCGCUUCCUUAUUCACCACCUUAUACCUCUUUCUAUUCUUCCUCUUAUCCUCCUUAUCUAAGCUUUCCACUAAAGCCGUGAAUCUAUUUAGGCCUAUGCCAUUCUCUACUGGUAAUUUGUCUUUUAAGGAAAAUUGGGUAUUCUCCAACAAUUGAAACUCUAAAUCUCAGACUUACACCUACUACAUAAACAUACAAGUUCUAAUCAGAAUAAAGCCCUUGUGGAAUUAAUGGAUUAAAUGUAAGUGUAAUAACAACAACUAGGCCUUAACUUGAACUAGUUGGUAUUGUCUAUAUAGAUUCUUUACUUCCAAUUGUUGUAUUCUUUGCUAAGUUCACAUUUGAAGGGGUUAUUGGUCUUUUAAGACUUCCUCAGUCCCUUUCAUCAAUGUGAUUUUGGCUUGCCUCGGUCCCUUUCAUCAAUGUGAUUUUGGCUUGCCUCGGUUCCUUUCAUCAAUGUGAUUUUUGGCUUGCCUCGGUCCCUUUCAUCACGUUUAGUCAUCAUUGUUGGUGAGUAUGGAGGUUACAUAGGGUAUGGUAUCGCAAGGCAUCUGAGGUGACCUUUUUUUUAUCCUCCAUCUUAACAUCAACAUUUCUAUGACACUCAGGUUUUUGAUAUAUAGGACUAAUAAUCACUCUCAUAUGACAUUGCUGGUCUUCAUUACUGUGUUAUAAGACCUGCCUUUUACUUGUUAGGUAACAGUGGUUGAAGAUUAAAAGAAAAUUAGCAAAUAAGCUUUAGAAAACAUAUGUUUAAGUAAUCUUAAAUAUCUUAAUCAAAUUAAGAGCAAGAACCAACUGUUGUGAUAACAGAAAACAUUCUUUAACAUAUUUUAUGGGGCCAUAGAUUAGGGAUAAUUUUGACAUUUACAUUACAUAUCACUUGUUUAGUCAUGGUUGCUCAACUUGCACAAUAUUGGUUUUAUUCAGUUUGGAGUAGUGUCAGGAUUAAAAUUUAGAUACAUACACUUAGAGCCUGUUUUGAUGGGCUUAUUAGUUUUUUCUUAUAAACAAAAAACCUAAUUUAGGAAUUCUAACUUAUGGCUUUUGGCUUAUUUUUGUCUUUUUGGCUUGAAAACAAGUGCUUAAAAGUAUUCCUUCUCAAAAAAACAAGUGCUUACAAAUACUUAUUAUUUUACCCAAACACUACAAAGUGCUUAAAUGCUAUUUUGGCUUAAAUGCACUUAAAAUAAGUAUCCAAACAGGCUCUAUGUAAUGUGAAAUAUUAAUAAAAUGCUUAACAUUGUACCAUUUUAUUGUGCAUAAAGUAGACAUUUCUUGGAUAUAAAUUGCACGGAACAACCUUCAUAGAAAAAGGAAAUACAUGAGGACAACGUGGUCUACAGACCCAAUAUUUGUGGUCAUAAUCUGCUUCGACAUCAUUCUUGUUACAUCGGAGAGGGAUGACUUCCCGGAUCAACUUCCAACUGUUCCUUUAUCAUUUCUGUGGUCAGUCUACUGUACCAAAUGCACUGAACUACAGGGCAGGGAAUUGCACAAUCCCAUACUUCUCUUGCGUAUCUACAUCGUAAAUUUUCAAAUAACCUUAGGUGCCAUUUGUUGUUCGGAAAGAAAAAUGGAAGUGCCAGAAUUAACUUUUGAGUUUGGCUUCAAGCAAGCUGAACUAGUGCUGCUACUGAUACAUGUUAGUUGUAGAAAGAGUAUGUUAAUAACUUUGUUUUGUUUGAUGAGAAGACAUUUUGAAGUCUUUUCUUGGAAAAGUCAAGAUCCUCAGUUGUAACAACUUCAUUAAGUCCAAAACAAUUUAAGGUCGGUCAUAUGAAUCUUCACUGACCAUGUGAUUCCAUAAGCUCAUCUCAUGCCAAUAUUAUGCAAAUACAUAUUCAAUGUAUUAGAAGUUUUCUAUAUUUUCUAAAAUGCAUAAAUCUCUGAAAGGCUAAACCACUCUUAGAAAGCAUAGUUUCUCGUCAAAGUGCUAGCAUCCCUAAAAUUACUCUUAACGAAUAUGUAUUGCCUAUGUAAAUCUUUCUUCUAUUGUGCUAUAUCUUUUGCUUAGCUUACAUGGACCUCAGAUAUUCUAGGUCCUUCGAGACAAUUUUUUUCCAUGUGAUUUUAGGUCUAACUCGUUCUCUUUUAAUACCUUCACUUACCAUGGUUUCACAACUUGUAUUUGGAGGUCAAUGCAGGACAUGCCAAAUCAUAUCAACCGACAUUCUUUCAUUGUAUCCUCGAUGUGUGCUACUUGAACCUUCUUGCGAAUGUGAUCAGUUUUAGUCCUGCCUAAUUUUGUAUGACCACACAUCUAUCUUAGCAUCGGCAUAUAUCCAAAAUUCAUCUUGUGGAUGUGUUAAACUUUAGUGGUCCAACAUUCAGUCACACAGCAUUUGCUGGUCUAAUAACUGUUCUAUAGAACUUACAUUUUCACUUUAAUAAACAUCCUUCUAUCACUUAACACCACCCUUGCAACACUUCUAUAUUUUUAACUAUCCGAUUUUGAUUCUAUGUGCAACAUCCUCAUUUAUCAUUUCAUUCUCCUGGAACAACAAGCCUAAAUAUCAAUUGUUUGCAUUUAGGUACUGCAAUCCCAUGUAGUUUCACCUCAAUUCACUCUUCUUAUGGUGACUAAACUUGCAGGCAACUGAUCUUCAGUUAUAAACUUGGAAUUAUUUAGAGCUUACUCUGUUUUCAUCAUGCUUUUAUUUUAGGGACUUCGGGUUGGUCUAAACUUGGCUCUUGCUAUUGCUUUACACAACAUACCAGAGGUAUACUUUCUUACAAAUUUACCAGUUUAUUUCCUGAUUUCUGUAUGUUUCUUGAGUGCAAGGAUACACUAAUGGACUCCUUAUUACAGCUGUAAUAUAAGAUAUCUUAUCCUAUCACAAUGUGUCUGUGUAUGUACUUGAUUGCUGUAGUAUUCUUGGUUUCAUUCAUUUUUGGCUCUAUGAACAUGUUAUUUGAAUUUUCGCUGCUGAGCAGAUUGUUGAUCAUGUAUGUAAAUAAUAAAUCAAUGUGCUUAUCAGUUCAAUUAAGAGCUACGUGUGGCCUAUAUUUAAAGAUAAAGCCUGUACAUUGUUUGGGCACUUUUCAUUCUUUCAUACAUUUCCAUAUUAUACCAAAUCCCUAGCUGAGUUGGGUUGAGAUCGUUGAUUGAUUGACGAUGCCAAGGAAGGCAUCUACUGUAAAAACAGUGGAUAGUCUUGCCAAAACAGGUAAAUUAACAAUCAACAUGUUUAUUGGGAUCAAACUAAAAGGAACUAAGGGAUGUGUCUUUUUUGUUCCUUUUCCAUUUGGGGACCUGAUUUAUUUGGUUGCAGGGUGUUGCAGUUGCACUUCCAGUUUAUUUUGCAACACAGAGGUAAUGAUUCGUAGUAAACUAACUUAGUAUUAAUUAAGGAUAACAUCUUUUGCUUGUGCCAAUCUGGGUUUAUUUUAUUAGGUUAAUUUUCUAAUUAUUUAAUAGACUCGAUGCACGUAAACAUCUUAUCUUCAAUUUAGUCAGGUCAUAUGAAUGUAGUUUCUCGACAAAGUCAUGUUAUCUGUACAUCUUAUGCUUGAGGCCUUAAGGCUAUUUGAGUCAUAAAGACUACGCUAUUUAAAUUAUAAAAUGCAUCCAGCGAUUUAAAUCGCAAGACUUACAUGCACAUAACUGAAGUUGCUGGAAGCUUUGGAAUAUAAGAAAUUAAAACGCAGAUAGUAAGAAAGAUCAAUGAAAUCAAAUCCUUUUCCUUCUUCCCUCCAACAAAAGGUAACAACAAGGUGCUCUCAUCACUUUGUAGAAAUAAAAUUCUUUCUUCUGCCCAGAACAAUUUAUCAUGGCUCUGUCAAUGGCAUUGCAAGGAUAAAGUUCUAGUGCAACGACUAAAGAACACUUCAAUCAUAAUUAGUUUCACCAAAGCUCAUCUUGUUGUAUGCACUAUCCCCAUUUUUUUCUUAGAUAGUUGAGAUUUAUAUAGUGAGUCUAUAUGUGUCUCAGCAAAUGGCAGGCAUUCAAAUUGGCAACACUUUCUGGUCUCGCAGAGCCCCUGGGUGUAAUUAUUGUGGGUGAGUACCUGAUAUUCAUGCCUUUUUCUUUUAGAAGGAUAAGAAUUACCUGAUAUCCAUGUCUUUUAGUUCAAGUAGAACACAAAGUGUACAUGAAGCAGAGAAUAGGUUCAGAAUUCAUUUUUUAAUUUAAACAUGAUUUGAUUGCAGCAUAUCUAUUUCCAAGCAGCUUGAAUCCUGAAAUUCUGGAGGGCCUCCUGGGAGCAGGUUGAUAUGAUAUUUAUUUACUUCUAGUUUCUUGACUGAUGAGAAAGGAGAAACAUUUACUUUUGAAUUAUGCUAUCCUCUAAUGGAUCAUGUUGCUUUCAGUGGGAGGGGUGAUGGCAUUUUUAACCUUACAUGAGAUGCUUCCAUUGGCAUUCGACUAUGCCGGUCAGAAGCGAGCUGUCAAAGCUGUAUUCCUUGGAAUGGCUUUCAUGUCUGCGAGGUGAGAUAACUUCUGUAAACUUCAACGUCACUCCUGGUAGUUACCAAACACAGCUAACUAUUGUACUUCGACUUGAAAGGUCCCGAGCUUCAAUGAGUUAACACUACAUGCACUCAGCGGCAACUUGAUUUAUUUUUUUGUUUCCAUGCUUUUGAUCUAGUGGAACCUCCUUUGCUUGAUCCAAUUUUUUUAACAUUACUAUAUAAAAUGGAAGUAUAUUAACUUUUAGAUGCCUAAUGGUUGAAGUAAAAUAUAACAGAGGAUUCUGUUAUUCAGUUAAUGCUAGUACUUAAGGAACUCAGCAAUACCAGCAUACUUAGCUGAUUGUUCUUUCAUUUACCAAUAUAAAUAAUUACCAAGCAAUCUGCUAUAAUUACAUGCUGUAAAGGAUUCUUUCUUUCUAAAUUUGUUUGUCUUGGGCAUGGCACCUACCUCAUCAAAGCUGCUUGCUGAAUAUCGAUUUUGUUAUCUUCUUAUACUUUCUCGUUUCUUUUUCUUUUUUACUUUUGCUGUAGUUUUACCUUCUCUCCUAUUGCAGCCUAUAUUUCCUAGAGCGGAGCUUGCCAGCGGACAUGAGCUUGUAGUUCUCAGUCAUAUGGUGUUUCACUACUUGUACUGCUGAACUUCGAUGGAGUUUUUUCGUGGUGCUAAGCUUCAAAACUAAAAUUCGCAUUCUUACAAAAUCCAUGAGGCAUGGCAUUUGGUUUGGCAAGCUGAAUGAGAGUGAAGGUAUAACAGUUUCUGAGAUUGUUUUAUAGUAAAAUAGGAAAUGCACAGAGACUCAGCCAGUAUCUCAUAUAUGAACAAGAGAUACAUGGGCAAAACAUUGUGUGGAUUAAUUUACGAAUGGUCAUCCAACUUUCAAUUCGUUGUAACAAUGUCACAAAACUAACCUUUGUAAUGAAAUAAAUAAACUCAAAAAGUAUUAACUGAAUGCUGGAAAACGUAAAUUCAGUUUGGAAACACAACUAGUCUGCCAUUUUAGCAGCUAACUUUAACUAUACUCAUGUGGCAACAAAAACAGCAUACGCGGUGAAAUCCCACUAAGUGGAGUAUAGGGAGGUAGAAGGACUGUUUUCCAAAUAUCUCAGCUUUAAGCGAAGCAAAUCAAAGUAGUAAUGCAGGGAAAAAAACAGCAGUGAAAGAAAAACAUGACAACUAAUAUAAAAUCAGUGCAUAUAUAUAUAUAUAUAUAUAUAUAUAUAUAUAUAUAUAUAUAUAUAUAUAUAUAUAUAUAUAUAUAUAUAUAUAUAUAUAUAUAUAUAUAUAUAUAUAUAUAUAUAUAUAUAUAUAUAUAUAUAUAUAUAUAUAUAUAUAUAUAUAUAUAUAUAUAUAUAUAUAUAUAUAUAUAUAUAUUGAUUUACUAUCAGUUAAGUGAAAUUAGUUUGGGGGGUAUAUAGUGUAAUUAUUUAGUGGGAUAUCAAUAUAAAGAGAUAUAUAUUUAUAAUUAUUUUGCUUUUAUGAGAUAUUAGUUUAGUACCCCGUAACUAAACCAUUACUGCCUUACGUAAUUACACCCUAUAAUAAUUAAUAACUACACCCUAUAAUAAUGAGUUUUCCAAAUUUUUCUCUUGUAAAAAUGUCAUUCGGCUAAUGAUGUUAAGCAAAAUGUACCGUGACUUGGUAAAGUAAAAUGAAAUUGAAUUAGUUGAAAUAAAAACAUCACUAUAUAAAUUCUCUAUUAUUAUAAUUUAUUAUAUGCGAGAAGUCCGACAGUUAAAACACCAUAAUAACCCUACAAAGUGAAGUGAUCAUGAUGAUUAGGGGUGUUCACGGUUUGGAUAAAAACCGAUCCAAACCGAAAAACCAAACCAAAUCGAUAAAAUAAAACCGAUUUUAUUUGGGUUUGAUUUGGUUUGGUUUUAGAUUUUUGAAAACCGAUAGUAUUUGGUUUGAUUAUGGUUUUAUUUGAAAAAAAUCGAAGAAAUAACCGAACCGAAUCGAUGAAUUAUUUACAUAUAUUUUAUUAAUAUACAUACUUAAUAUAUUGUUUUUAUAAACAAUUUUAAAGAUCUUAUACAUAUUUUCAUUAAAAUUUCUUUAUAAUUUACUUAUUGUCCCAAGAUGAAACAUUUAUCUUAUUAAUUUCAUGUAUAUGAGUGUCUAUGACAAUUCUUUGUGGGACUGAAAAUGUUAUUUUCUCUUCCUUCUAGACCAAUAUAGUGAAUUUUAAAGCUUUAUUGAUAGUAAAUUUAGUGAUCGAAAGUUUAGUAAUUUAAGUCAUUCUAACUAUUUUUCGUUUUGAAUGGAUUGUUGUCACUUUUUUCACAUUUUAAAUGAAUUGUUUCUUUUAUUUUUGUGUAUGGUUAAUAACCAAAUAACCGAACCAAACCAAAUCGAAACCGAUAAUCACCAAACCGAUAAAUGUAUAUUAUAUUUGGUUUGGUUUGGUUUUGAUAAUUUUAAAACCGAUUAAGUUGGUUUGGUUUUGGUUUUGACCAAUAACCGAUCCAAACCAACCCAUGAACACCCCUAAUGAUGAUACCUUUAACCUAAUAUUACUUAAUACAUUUUUGUACGGUGAUGUAAAUUUAUAUUCUAACAAAAAAGAAGUUUUAAUUAGGAAAAAAGACAAUGUAGCACUUUUCUGCCAUUAAAAAUUAACGGCAUAUUUAAUGUUAAUAUAGUUAAUUGUAAAUAAAUCUUUUAUUUACUACUCCCUCCAUUCCAUAUUAAGUUAAUUUUUGAGGUGUUUCACACCCUUUAAGAAAAGUAGAUUAAGACAUAAAUUGAACCUAGUUUUUAAUUUUUACCCUUAUUAAUUAUUGUCAAAUUUAUGAUUAAAAUAACUAAAUAUUAAUUAAUCACUAAUUCCCAUACUAACUAAUGAAGGGUAAAAUUGAAAGAACACUCUAAAAGUAGUCUUGAAAAAUGAACAAUUAAGUUAAUUUGAAAAAUGAAAAAUACCUCAAAAAUUAACUUAAUAUGGAAUGGAGGGAGUAGUAGUUUACAACGCAAGUCUUUUCAUCACUUAUUUUGAUAGUUAUUUUUUUAGUAGUUACUCAUUUAACUUCCAUCGAUAUAGUCUUUUGACAUUUUUUGCACAAAUUUAAAUCACUUCUUUAUUUACUGAUUAAAUUGAAUUUCUUCUUAAUUCCCUUUUAAAAAAAAUAUCACGGGUUGGUGUAGUUGCUCUUCAAGCAUGCGUUGCUGGUGAGGAAUGAUUCUUCUGCCUUUUGUUUUCAUAUCAUAUAUUUGAGUCUUCUUUUAAUUUUUCAUUUUGAAUUAUGUAUUAUCAAUAAUUUGAUAAUCUAGAAAUUAAGUAAGCUAAUAUGAUGAUUGAUGGUAUUAAAAAAAGGAAAAAAUAUUCAAAUAUACAUCUUAUUCUACCAUAAUCUCCAAAAUUCCCUACCAUUUAAAUUUUUUUCAAAAAUCCCCUCUCGGAUACAUCACUUCUCUCUCGCUGAUACAUCAUUAUCCCUCCCCUCUCGGAUACCUUCCUCUCCUAUGUAUCUGGAUCCUAUCUCCUCUAGUACAUUCCUCCCCUCUCAGAUAUAUCCCUCCCCUCUAGUCAGAUAUAUCUAAUACAUUCCUCCCAUCUUUGAUACAUCCCUUACCUAUGUAUCCGGAUGUCCAGUGAUGUAUCCGGAAAUCCAGUGGUGUAUCCGCAAUUUAUAAAUUUUAAGGAUUUUUGUAAUUUGAAAAAUAGUAGAGAAAUAAUGUAAUUAACUAUUAACAUUAUGAGAUUUAUGUAAAAGAUUGAAUAGGUUUAAAAGAAACUAGUUUCAACUAUUCGGCUUAAUGAAUCAGGUUCCUUAAGGAUAGCUAAACCAGUAAAAUAAAGAACACACAAUUUGCUGUGGGAAACCUCUUUACUAGUGAAAAACGUAACAUGAUGUACAAAACUUUCACUAACUUCAACAAGCGGUUUCAGAUUUUACAACUUUAUAAUUUAAAAGACUAAUUAUAGUACCUUGCUAGGCAAAUAACUCUAACUAUUCCAACAACUCAUCAAGAGGAUACACUCUCUUUUUGUUACCAACGUCACAACUUUUACAAUAGAAGAAAUUAUUACAGCUAUAUAAUAAUCCUCUUACAAACUUGAUGACAAUAAUCCUAAACACUAGUUCUAGGUUGUUGCAAGCCUUCUCAUAUACUCUCCCUCCCACUCAAGUAUACUCAAACAAGUGCUAAAAAGAAAUUAAAGUUCAAGUAAGUGAUGAUCAGUGUGUGUAUAGGAUGUAUUAGUCUGUAAGUUUGAGUUCCAAAGGGCCUAGCUAGCAAAUGUCUUUAUUAGCCAAUUGCUUUGGGACUUGAUAUAAGCUCCUGUCCAAUUGGACAUGUCACACAGCAGGUACACUGACUUGGUGUGACUCUACAUGCCCGUUUAUUCGUGCUUGUAAGUUGUAUCCUUGGGACGAUUGUUGCAUAGAUACAAAGAUUGUCACUAAAUAAUGUGUUAGGAAAAACAUGAAUAAAUGAUUACUCCCUCCGUUCAUUUUUAUUUAUUCAGUUUGAACUUUGCACGUUUUUUUAAGAAUUAAUAGUUAUGUCACGAUUCAAAUUUUUUUAUUAGGUUGUGAGAACACCCACUAUCCUUACAGACGAAUCUCAUUUCUUUAUUAACUGUUUAAUAAUAUAAAUAAUGUGCAACUAAUAUAAAAUAACCACUUACUUUUAUAACUAAAUAAAUUGCGUAAAAAUAAAAGUGCGGAAAUAAAGAAUUUAAAUUCAAAACAACCCCAAUACCCGGUGACACCAGUACAAGAGUUUAGGAAUACAAAGCAAGUCAAAAAGGAUCAAAAUAAUAGUCUAGAAGAAAAUAACUAAAAAUAUAUAAGGUCUCAAAUAUCCAGUGCUAUCGAAGAGAAAAUAGCCCACUCUAGACUCAAAUAGCAAAAUCUCAAAAAUAUAUAGCAACUCAAGUACCACUUGUAUACGUAUCUGGUUCAGUUCAUGCACACAAAAAAGUACAACAAGUAUAGAGUUAGUAUGUAAAACAAGUGUACUCAACAAGUUUUGAUUGCAGAUCCUUUCUAAAAGUGAUAACACAAUAUAUAUAUUCUAAGAAUUUUUUUCCCACUAGUAUAAUUAUGUUACAACAUAAAUCACCACAACAUAACAAAUAAAACAGGUGGAUUUCCAAAAUCAGUUACACCACAUAUAAUAUCACAAUUUUUCUAAGAUGAAUCAAAUCAAUAACACAAUCAUAUCAAUACUUGAACACAACUCAAUAUGAAAUGUAAUAACGAAGAAAUAAAAUGGAAUGCACCGGCCAACAGUUUGUACACACCCGCUUUCUAUGUCGGAUAGUCAAGAUCAAUGGGGGACUAUGAGGUCCAUAUACUCGUCGGAAUUAUUUUUUAAUGGCUUUACAUGAUGUCACUUUUCGAAACUAUUUCUCAUCGAUAUUAAUAUGAAUUUCACAAAUAACAUAAUGAAAAAUUUCAAUCAAUCAUUAUUAUGCAAUAAUAAGAGUGGUAUGAAUAUGCAUGAACAAUAUAUAACAUGAAUUCGUCAUUCAACCCUACAAUAAAAAAUCAUCUAGUCACAAGUUGAAGAAAUCCACAAGUUUCAACAAUUGAAUCAUAUCGCAUGUCAUGAGAUACUAUCAAUUGAUAAUAAUUUCAUUUUAUAUUAUUCAUAGCAUGGUAUUGGUAUCUCGAUCCAUAAUGCUCGUUAUUGUAUUUAUACAAGAGCCUCUUAUUAUCCAUUACCCUUAAAUUCAUUUAAUACACAAAACUAACACCUCAAGGAAUUAAGAAAUUUCUAUUUGCCUCAACUGAAGGUCAAACGUAAAAUUACGAACUUGCCCUUUCGUAAUGCUUUCAAACGUCAAAAUUUGUUAAAUAUAGAAUUUUCAUUAAGAAUACGAAUCUAAUGAUACUCAUAUUUCUAUUAACAAUUAAAUCAAAAAAUUAACCCAAACCUCUACAGUUGAAUUUGAAAAUUUUCUUCAGAUUACAUUUACCUAUAAUGAAAUGAACUUAUAUGUCAAAUUUCAGCUAAAACAAAUUGUUAAUUACUCGACCCUCAAAAUCAUAAAUUCUUACUCUAAAAAUCUUAUUCUUGUUUCCGAAUAAUUCUUUCAUAUUUCUACCAAAAACUUUAACUUAUUAUCACGCAAUAAUCUCAAAGAAAAUUUUAGAAUAAUUACUUUGAUGUUUUGAGUUGAAAAUUUCCUAUUUUUCUCUUUUUUUUCCCUCUAUUUUUCUCCCCUUCUUCUCCUUUCUCCUAAAUUUGUUUUCUUUCUUUUUGUUGCGUCUCUAUUUUUGCGCCUUUGAGGUUUAUUGUUGCUUAUGUAAUCAAACUUUAAUCUUUUCAUUUGUUGAAAAACCCUUAAUUCUUCUUCUUUUUUGUUUUGUUUAAGGAUACAAUGAUCCCUCAUAAAUAUAUGAUUUAUUAAAUUCUCUAUCACUUAAAAUUAUAUUCGUUCUCAAACAUGUUCAAAUUUUUUUUUGAAGCGUUGAAAUACGAACAAUAACUAUGUACUCUCAAAAUGAACUAUCUUCUCUGAAACUCGUUUGAUCACUUUGAAAAUCAUGUUAUCCAUUUAUGUAAGUCAUAAAUCACUUAUAAAAGCAAUAUGAAGGAAUAAAAAAAAAGAAUGUAAAAUUCAUAAAAUGACUAAAAGGAUCGUUACAUCAUCAAUCCUAAAAUACAGAUUCGUCUUUGAACAAAAAGAAAAGUACCUGAAAUGCCGAACGAUAUCAGUUUUGCAGGUUAUAUUCAACCUCUCAAGUGUAUUCCUCUGUCGGACGAUAACUCUAGUGUACCUUCACAAAUGUUAUGUCCUUGAAUCUCCGUUUUCUAACUUGCCAGAAUAACUAUAGGCUUCUCCUCAAAUGUUAGAUUUGGAUCUAACUGUACCGAAUUCCAUUGAAUCACAUAAGAACCAUCACAGUGAUAUUUCUUCAACAAUGAAACAUGAAAUAUCUGUUAAGUCUAGUGGCACAACCAGCUCAUAUUUCCACAAAUUCGUACCCCAAGGCCUGACAUCAUAGGCUUGAACCAACCCGUCAAAGAACAACAUACAUGCAUUAAAUAAGACCAUCUGAAUAUUGAAAUGGUAAUAUGCAAACUCCGCUGAUAAAAAGAAUUGAUCUCAGUGACAACCAAAAUCAAUCAUAUAUGCCAUAACAUAUUCUCAAACACUUUAACCAUUCACUUGAACUUACCAUCUAUAUCAUGUGGAUGAAAAGUUGUGCUAAAUUUUAUUCAAGUACCCAACUCAAUCUAUAUUGACUUUCAGAAAUUGAACAUGAACUUAGUAUCUUGAUUCAAAAUUAUAGAAAUGGGCACAUCAUGCAAUCGUACUAUAUAUCUCAAGAAUAUAAAUCCUAAUCAACUUCUCCGCAUUGUAUGAAGUCUGAACCAACACAAAAUGAGUUGAUUUGAUCAAUUAAUUCACGGUGAUCCAAAUAAUAUCAAAUUUCCUCAAAAUCUGUGAAAUCCUACUAUGAAAUUCUUAACAAUCUUCUUCCACUUUCACUCAGGUACCCACAUCAUAUGAGUUAUACCGCAUGAUCUUUGGUGUCCGUAAUUUACCUACUGAAAAUUCAAACAUCAAAGGCAUACUCUAUGAUGUCUAUCUUCAUUCGAUACCACUAGUAAUGUUGAUUCAGAUCAUGAUACAUUUUCGUUGCUCCAGAUCCAUAAAUGCCUCCUUAGUUUCACCUUUUAACAUUAUCACAACCCGAGACUGUUAUGAAUAUAUUAUAUAUAUAUAUAUGCGGAAUUUAUGCUGUAUGAAGCACACAUUUUUUUAAUAUUCUUUUAGCAUCUUUGUAUGCAAAAUACUCAUAUAUUCUAAGCAUUCUCAUUUCAUGUAUUGCUACUAUCAGCUUUGUAGAUCUUAAGCUUGUACUUAAAUAUGCUUUUUCCAUUUCAGGAAUUGCUUUAUCAAUAUGAUGCAAUGCUAUGUGGUGUUUCCACGCUCUUUUCCUUACAUUAUGUACGUGGUAUUGAAUGUGUUUCAACAUAUUUAUAUUUUUAUGCUACAACAAGCAUGACAUUAGUUGAGUAAAUAUUGAUUGUAUACAUACAUGUUAUAUGCUUGAUUAUUAAAACACUAUGUACGUGGUAUUGAAUAUUUUCCAACAUAUUUAUAUUUUUAUGCUACAACAAGCAUGACAUUAGUUGAGUAAAUAUUGAUAAGCAUAUUAUGGUGUAAAAUGGUUCAAUACAUUACUUAACAAAGUUUUUGUAUACAACAAUUGUAUUAUGAAAAGAAAUUGAUACUAACCAUAUUGAAUACAUCAACUCUAACUAAAUGUCUAUGAAUCUUCUACUAAUAAUGAGUAUAUGUGGUUAGACAUGAUCCCCCUUCUUCCCUUAAUCAAUAUAUAUGAAGAUAAAUAAGACACUGAAACCAUGGAUUGACUUGAGCCCUCGAAAUAAGAGAACUCGUUACUUGCUGACCGGAAGCUAUUAUCUAGUUGACUAGGAUCCUGAUAGUAAAAAUCUAAAUGUACAUCACAUGAAAAAUGUAGGUAAAAUAGGUAUGCAAUCAAUACUUUGAAUGUGAUGAGUAUGUUAGAUACAAAUGAUAAUCUGUAAUGCUGGACAUGAUGAAUUUGAGAAGCUAAACUGAAUAUUGAAUUGACAUACAUAAACUGAUGCAAUGACCAUGUAGUAAAACAUGCAACUGAAAUAAAAACAACUGAACAUAAGGUCAUGCAACAUUUGAGACUGAAUUGUGGGAGGUACUAAUAAUCGACAUAUAAUCAUGUGAGCUAAACAUGGAGUUUGAUAUAUAUUCCCCAUAAAAAAGGGUCCAAUAUACCCUGUCAGGGUAUAAAGGUUGAUCUAAUUUAAUGUUAUGCCACUAAACUAAUGUCCAUAAAGAACUAAGGAGUUAGUCCUGGUUUGACGAGUGACUCUUAAAUAUCUUCAAUAACACGUAGUUUUGGGACUUAGAGAUUCUACUAAAUAUCUGAGUCCUAACUGACAUAUAAGCCUCAUCCCUAGGUCUGCUCGGUGCUAAGUAAAACUCUCAACGAAAACAUGCUGAUAAGCUAAAAACAGUAAUAAACUGGAUUAUACUAAAUGAUGUUGAUGUACUGAUAAAUCUGAGUAGCUCAUGAAUACUAAUAGAUACUUUACCUGAAAGCAUAUUUAAUCAUAAAAAUUGGUAGUCUGAGGCAGGCAUAUGAAAUUAUAUAGUUUUGAGACAUGAAAUAUCUAUGUUCUAAGGGUUCAUAAAAAUACUAUUUAUAAAUACUGAAUUAUAGUUUGUAAACACAUAAUUAAACUAUUCAUGAAGAGGAAUGAAAAGUAUCGUAGGAAUCAUGUUUUUCAUAACACCCUAAUUGUCGUAGAAAUCAUGAACAGGAAAAUAGGCUUACAUUGGGACUCAAUGGGUGAAAGGAUACCCAUUGAUAAAAUCCCACAUACCUGGAAUGAAAAACCUUGAUAGAAUCGCUGAACUUAAAGUUUGAAGGUGAAAAUCAUAGCUUUAAUCUUACUAACUAAAACGGUUGAUGUAGGGGGUGAGGAAGAACUAAGUUCCUCGCUAUGAUGACCUUAUAUACCUUAAACUCUCCAUAAAUCUUGAAAAAUAACCUUAAUUUGACGAAGAUUGAUCAAGAGACCCUUUACUGAAAUUCUUGGAUUCGUUUUUGAAAAUCAUAUGUUUUGAUGAUUAAGGGUAGGCAUGGUAUGGUAUGAUAUGAUAUUUGAAAGUUUUGAUACCGUAAUUUUGGUAUUCGGAUUUUAAAACAUUAUACCAUUACCAUACCAAUUUAAUUCGGUAUAUCGAAGUUUAGUUUCGUUAUUUUACAGUAUGAUAAAUCGGUAACCAUAAUUUGUUCAACUUUAACUAAUAUAUACUCGUAUAAUAGAGUAUUAUGACUUUGUCAAUUAAAAAAAGGUCUCAAUUGUAUCAUACUAACAUAUUACACAUGUAGAAAUAUAUAUGCAAAAUAUAGUACAAACAACUUCUUUUGUUAAUCAAUUACAAUUCAAAUACAUUUCAAUCAAAGUGGAGUAGUCAAAGUUUUAACUUCUGAACAUUUAGUUUAUACUAAUACUAGGUUGCAUAUUUGUUAGUAUUUUAAUAAUAUAUAUGUUAGUAUGUAACUAUAUACUUCGGUAUGGUAUUCAGUAUUUCGGUAUGUUAUAUCUAAAUACCAAAUACCGUAUCGAAUGCCAAAGAAAUUAAAAUGUAUACCAUAUACCACAUCAAAUACCAUAAUAUCAAAACCAUAGUAUUAAAAAUUUCGGCACGGUAUGAUAUUUCGGUAUAUACAUACCAUGCCCACCUCUAUUGAUGAUAUAUUCUAGCUUACGACACAUAAUCAUAUGUUAGAAACACUAGAGAAUGAUGAUAGUAUGCUUACCUUGAUUCGUAAAGAAGAAAUCUUGAUUAACUUGCUUCAAAAGCAAGUCUUGAACCCUAGAAUUGAGUUUUUUUAUUUUAGUAGAGACGAAAAGAGAAAUUGAUGUUAAAAUUUUGUAGAAAUUCUAGGAUAUACAUUGUAAAAUGUGAAAAUUUCUAAUAUGACAUAUAUUAUACUAAUAUUUUCGAGUUAUAGCAGUAGAUUUAGACUUUCAAGUUAUAACAUUAAAAAUUUCAGGUUGUAACAAAUUAUUAAAAAAAAAAGUUAUUUUUAAUAAUUAAAAACAUUUGAUUUGAAAAGAAUAAAAAGAUUAAAAAAAAAAACGUUUCUGAAGGAAAAAAUGAAAAAAACGGAAAUAGGGAUGGCAAUUAAAUUUGAAUUAAUUUAAGAUAAUUAUUAAUUAGCAUGAAUUAAGGAAUUUCAAACUAAUUAAGAAUAUUCAGUUUCCUUAAUUCACUCAAUUUGUUAAAAUUAAUUUAAAAAUCUGAUUUUAUCCAUUUUUCUUUCACGUUUCUCUCUCUUCGAUUUUCUUCCAGAAAUUGUCAUUGGCGACAAAUUGAAUUUUUUUUUUGGUUUGAAAAAACCNNNNNNNNNNNNNNNNNNNNNNNNNNNNNNNNNNNNNNNNNNNNNNNNNNNNNNNNNNNNNNNNNNNNNNNNNNNNNNNNNNNNNNNNNNNNNNNNNNNNNNNNNNNNNNNNNNNNNNNNNNNNNNNNNNNNNNNNNNNNNNNNNNNNNNNNNNNNNNNNNNNNNNNNNNNNNNNNNNNNNNNNNNNNNNNNNNNNNNNNNNNNNNNNNNNNNNNNNNNNNNNNNNNNNNNNNNNNNNNNNNNNNNNNNNNNNNNNNNNNGUGGUAGAUGGGAUCCUUCAGGUUGAAUAAAUGUUGGUAUGAAUAAUUGGAUGUCAACUAUAUACAGUUUGGAUACCAAUUAUAUGGUGUUCAUUUUGAUCUCCAAUUAAAUAGUAAAACGAAACUGUUUAUGUAUCCAAUUGUUAUGUAGUUUGUAUAUAACUGUUAUCCAAAACAUUGUAUCCAAUUGAUAUGCAGUCUGUAUAUAACUAGUAUCCAGAAAUUAUGAGAGUCAAUCUGUAAUGCAUAUGUAAGUUGAUAACUGAACUUGAAGAAAACAGUGCAUAUUCUAUAUCAUUCAAUACUUAAAACUGUAUCAAAAACAAAUAUAUAUCGUUCAAAAGUUAAAAAGACAUGAAAUACUAAAGAGUCUAAGCUGCAAUCAACUAUCUCAAAUUUGAUCUCCGUAGUCUUGGUGUAGGAUAAUUGUUGGUAUCUGGAGCAUAUUCUUUUGCUAUGCGGGAUCCAUCAAAUUUGCUAGUAACAGUCCCAGUUACUUCACUCACUGAUCGCGCCACCAUCAUUCUUUGUUUUUUCCGCAUUGCCAUCAACCUAGUUGGAGAAAUUGAAAAAGAAACCUUCUUAUUAUAAAAAAAUACCAAUUUCAUACCAACAUUAGACAUAAUUUAAAAAAAAAUAAAAAUGGAUGACUUAACAAACUACAAUCAAUUCACAUAAUUGGACCAUUGAUAUCACACAAUUUUCUGAUAAAAUAAUACACAACUUAAGUCAGCUUUCAUACCAACAAUAAAUCAAUUUCAUACCAAUGUUAAAACACAUUUCAUACCAUAUUCAAAAAUCGUAUAUUAAUUAAGUUAGCUUUCAUACCAAUAUCAUUCAUGUUUCAUGCCAGAUUAGUAGACAUAAUGAGAAUAAUUUGAAAAAAAUAGCUUUCCUCUAAACUGUGCACCAACUUCAUACCAGAUUUAAACAAGUUUCACACCAAAUAUAAGUAAUACAUCAUACAAUUUUUAUACCAAUUCAUGCCAACAUUAGACAAAAUUCAUACCAUAUUCAUAAAUCGUAUAUUAAGUCAGCUUUCAUACCAAUAUUAUUCAUGUUUCAUGCCAGUUUAGUAGACAGAAUGAGAAUAAUUUGAAAAAAAAAUAGAUUUCCUCUAAACUGUGUACCAACUUCAUACCAGAUUUAAACAAGUUUCACACCAAAUAUAAGUAAUACAUCAUACCAUUUUUAUACCAAAUUUUAUACCAAUUCAUGCCAACAUUAGACAAAAUUCAUACCAUAUUCAUAAAUCGUAUAUUAAGUCAGCUUUCAUACCAAUAUUAUUCAUGUUUCAUGCCAGUUUAGUAGACAGAAUGAGAAUAAUUUGAAAAAAAAAUAGAUUUCCUCUAAACUGUGUACCAACUUCAUACCAGAUUUAAACAAGUUUCACACCAAAUAUAAGUAAUACAUCAUACCAUUUUUUCAAAACACCCUCUGAUUCACCUCCAUGAAAAAUGGUAAAAUAAACUUUCUUGCAAUACAAUUAUCNNNNNNNNNNNNNNNNNNNNNNNNNNNNNNNNNNNNNNNNNNNNNNNNNNNNNNNNNNNNNNNGAUGAAAGAUGAAUUUCUGUUUUUUUAAACAUGGAAUUGACGUGGGGUGAGGGAUUUAGAUGGGGUGGGGUGUGACUUGUAACAGUAAAAAAGGAACUAUAAUCAAUGUAAAUCCCUAUAAUUGUGUAAGAGAUAAUUAUGGGGUAUUCUUUAUUUAAAUAAUUUAAUAAUAAUAUAAAAUUAUAAAAAAUAACUUAUUUAAUAAAGUAAAAUUUAAUUAAUUUAUAAAUAAUUAGUGAUAUGUUAUAACCCGUAAUUAAACUGUUAUAAGCAAGAAUUUUUUAAAAGUAAAUUUAAAACCUGUAAUAUUGACUCUUAAAUGUGUAUAUGGGGUGAUUUUUACUUGUAAAAUCAUGGAGAAUACUUAUCAAGACUUAGUAAGGUUGAAGAGAACGUUUGAAGUCGACCAAGGGGUAAAAAGUGUAAAAAGAAGCUCAAAAUAGUAUUCUAAUGAAAUAUGAAUAUUUUGAUAUACAACUGAUAUACCUUAUAUAUAGGUAAUAUACAUGAUCUACAAAUCCUUUUACGACUCAUAAAAUGAUCCACAAAUCGUGGAUUGGAUCCUCAGAAUUUAGGUGCAAAUUUUGAGCGUCUAAUUCCAUUUUACCACUUCGAACUACAGCCUGUAAAUGCUUUUACGAUCCGUAAUUUCUGGAACAUAAUUUCAGACGGGGACAUAUUUAGUAAAAUAGUUAUAACUUUUAUUUCUGAACUUCAAUUAAUGCAAACUUGGUGACGUUAGAAAGAGGAUUCAUAGAAUUUAAUUUGGUGGGUCAUGGGUCACCUAAGUCUUCAUAAUCUAAGAGAUAUGAUCGUUUGAAGUUGACGUCUAUAUGACUUUAUGGGAAUAUUUAGCGAGCAGAAAAGACUUUAAACUUGGCUUAGUGCUAGAGAUCCCUAAUAACCUUAAAUCAAUUCCGAUCCAAUAGACUUCAUAUUCUUGAGAAGAAACCUUAACACACAUGAACAAGUAGGAAUUACCGGUAAAGAUCCUGUACACAUAAAAAGUACGGUUCAAAUUUUAGUUGAUAUUUUUUGGAGUGUUACAAACAUUUUGUCUUAAAUUAUAUUCAACUUCUCAUCUUCAAACAAUCUAGCCUAAUAUGAUCCAAUAAAAGAGAUUGUACCUCAACACGAAUAAAAACUCUAUCAGGCUCUGAAAUCUCGAGUCACACAAAGCUUUUUAGCCAAGGAUCGAACACUCAUGGCUAAAGGGCGCUCCACCAACAAUAUAGUCAAACUACCCAUACUAACUGACUUCUGACUCAAAGUAUUUGCAACCAUAUUCAUCUUGUUAAUGAUAUAAGAUAAUUAUGUCAUAAUCUUUAAGCAACUCCAAUCAUCUUUUUCUCAAAUUUAGAUUUCUUUGAUUGAAAAUGUAUUGUAGAUUGAUCCUUGAACACGUUACAAUGCACUCCAGGAUAUGUCCUUGGGUUUUUGAAACACUGUAAAAAAGAAGUGUUUCAAAACAUUGCUAUUUGACUUGGACAUGUUCUAAAAAAAUUUGAGGUAUUUCAAAUAAUUUGUUGACACGGACAAAAAAAUAUAAUUUUUUUUAGUAAUUUUAUAAAUAUAUAUUUUUUAUAAUAGCUAAAUGAGUUCUAAUCAUAAAAUGUCAGUAUACAAUAUAACAACACAUCACUAUUCACACAAACACUAUCACUAUAAAUAAGUUUGACCGUAUAUAUAUCUAGUACUUGACUCACAUUUAUGAUAAAACUAAUUUCGCAAACAACUUACACUUUUAAUUUUUCUUGUUAUCCUUUUUACAAAAAAAUCUUCAUUUUUAUACCUAAAAAAUCUUUAUUCUUAGACAUAAAAAAUCUAAAAUAUCAGAUUAUAUAUAUUUUCUUAUAAAUAAACAAAAUAUCUUGAUCUCUCAACCUUCACGGGUGAAUUUUGGGUCUAAAAUAAAUGAGGACAACACCACCUAAGCGUUGACAAUCAUUAACUAUAUUUAUGGAUAGUAAAUGAAUAAUCCUAAUAUAGAAUUGAGUGACUCAUUUUUCCUUAAAUGAAAAAUGUCAAGUCUCAUUCUUUCUAUUCUUGGAAAGAAAUAUAGGACCCAACACUGAGAGGAUAUAUAGUAUGAUCAGAUAUCAGAAUAAUCAUUUCAUAUUUCCCAUCUGUAAAAAAAAAAGAGUACAAAAACCCUACCUAACAUUAUUUAGUUCUGUGCAACUUUAAAGGUACCAAAAUGACCUGUGGGCAUUCAAUGACAUUUUUUAAUAAUUCUAUUUGUCGGCUGAGUGAGACAAUGUCACAAAAGAAAAAUGAGAAAAUAAAAUUAAUAAUCAAGCAACGACAAGUACUUUUUUAUUUUUAUUUUUAUUAAGGUACCGAGUAAUUAAUUUUGUGAAAAAAUAAGUACUCAGGAUGUGUGGCCUAACUAUCAAUAAAAUUGGUGGAAACUCAAACAAUUAUGUAAUUGUUAGUUUUUUUUUCCUAGAACAAUUAAGAAAAAAAAGAGCUCCUUAAUUUGAAUUUAAGUUAUAUUAUAUGUUAUUCCUUCUGUUCUUGUUUAGUUAUCAAAAUUGUUUUUUUAGAGUCAAAUAAUAAAAAAUUAGACUAACAUUUUAUGAUGUAUUUUUCAUCAUAUUGAUAUGCAAAAAAUUACAAUUUAUCGUAUAGUUUUUGAAUAUCUAAAUUUUUAGUUUAAAAUAUCGAAUUAAUAUAAACUAAUUUAACUUUGAAAAUUAGUCAAAUUAACUUUCGAAAAAUGCAACAUGACAACUAAAAAUGAACGGACGGAGUAAAAACUAAAAGUAAUAAGUUGGAAAUAUUUAGCUUUGGCUUUUUACAUAGCUUAUUUUUUAGACUUUUUUGACCUAAAUGUAAGUAUUUAAAAACACUUUUUAUCCUUUUUAAAUACCACGAAAAAAAUAAAGUAAAAACUAAAAGCACUUAAACCAAGUUAAUUCAUACCCCCCUCUAAAGUUUUUAUAAACAAAAGUGUUAUGUAAUUAGCUUUUACUUUUACUUUUAUAUAAACAAAAAAAAGUGUUACAGAUAGAUUACUUCAGUUGUGAAAAGCUUAUUAACUAGGUUGCCAUUCAAUUGCAUUCUCUAGUUCUUUGCUUCUUGUGUUACCUAGUCCUUUGUCAUGAUGGACUUCUUUCAUUUUCAAAACGUUUAGGGGUGAGGGGUGGUUUGGUGAGAUGUAUAAAAAUAAUAUGGUAUAUUAGUAAUAUUGAUAUUAGUUAUGUUGUGAUUAUUUUUUAUGCAAUGUAUAAUUUGAUGCAUUAAAAAUAACACGUAUUGCAUAAUUUAAAGAUAUAUAUUUUCUUAUAAAAAAUAUCAUCCACAAGUACGAUGGAAAUGAUGUAGAAAAUAACCAUGCUAGUGCAGAAAUGUAUCUGAGAUUUUGAGAGGAUGAGUGCAUUAUUACGAAAAGGUGGAUCUAAAAUAUAAACUUGAUCGAUUUAGCCUUUAGGUUCUUAACACUAAAUCGGUUAAACUUUUAAGUUUUAACAUUAUAGGUCAAACAUUAAUUUUUACCUAUCUUAAUAGUAAUUUAUAUCAUCUAGUACUAUUAAUUUUAAAUUUUAAUAUACACAUUUGGUUUCAUUAUAUAAAAAUUUUAUUGUACGCUAAUUUUUUUAAAAAGAAUUUUUGAUAGGACAGACUUGAAAAUUUCAAAAGACUAAGUAAAAAAUCAAAAGAAAAAUUAAUUGAAACGUCAAAAGAGCUACCAGUAACUACUUAGAGAGCAUGUAUUACUUUAGAAAGAAAAAAGAAUUGAAACAAGACAAGAUUUAAAUUUCUAAUCUUACUUAGAGAGGUACACCCAAUUAAAUUGCAUUAUAUGAUACUUUGAAUGUAGGUUCACACAUCUAUAUUUAAGUAUUGUUUUUAAGAAUAUAAUACUACUAUAUAUGAUUUAGGGAGGGGAGUACGAAUUCACGUGAAUCCACGAAACCCCCCUAAAUACGCUCAUGUGAUAAUGCAUGCAUUAAAGACUCUUGCAUUGUUAAUACUAUGGUUUGUCAUGUAUUAGUUAUGCAUAACAUAAUACUCCCUCCGUCCCAUUUUAUUUGGCACCAUUUCCUUUUUGGUCAGUCCCAAAAAGAAUGUCACAUUUCCUUAUAUGGUAAGUAUUUAAAGGUACAAUUCCUCUUUUACCCUUAUUGGUCCCACUUAAUCUUAAAAUAAUACUUCAAUAUAUUUAUGACGAGAGAAAAAAGUGAGUCUACUUUUUAAAGGGCAAUUUGGUAAACAUUUCAAAGUCUUCAUUUAUUUCUUAAACUCCGUGUCUGGUCAAAUGUUGCCACAUAAAAUGGGACGGAGGGAGUAACAAAUAGAGUGUGUAACUAACUUACUCCAGUUAUAGGUAGAAAAAGUGUAGCAAACAAGGUAUUACUAAAAAACAAAGAUAACACAUACAAUAUUUUUUCAAAUGCAUCCUACCAAACAACGCCUUAAUACAUUGAAGGACGCGUCUCACCUACCUUUUACAGUGCUACCCGAAGUGGCAGAGCAGUUGCGACAACAAUAGACGAUACAACAUCACAAUACGUACGCGAGAUCUAAUUUAUUUCGAAAUUUAUUAUGUAACUUUAGGAAACUAUAAAUACAUUUUUUUAGAAUUUUAUUAGGACGUUCUGUAAUUUAGUUUUCUGGUUGUGUUCUUAAGCGCUAUUGUGAGAGAAGAGAUCAUAUACCUAUGCAUUACAAUUAUUUUUUAGUUAAAGAUUAUCUUUUGAUUCUUGAUUUAUCGUCUUGAUCAUUGUAAGAAUGUCUUCUUACACUUUUAAUUUAGCUUUUUCACUUUCUAUGGGUAAUUAACCCCAUAUCUAAGAUUGUAACUAUCCAAACUGUUGUUACUCGAAGGCAUCUUGAGCGGAAUCUCAAAAUUCCAAAAAUACGGUGUCAAAUAAAAUUUAUGCAUAAUAAAAUUGGUUUAAUUUAAAUUGACCAAGAUGACGUUAGCCCACCGUAAUGGAAAGUCUCCCGCUAUAGCAGGCUGGCAAGAAUUAGACCCUAGUAAAUACAAGGUAUUUUAUUUUUUCUCUCACUUUUUGUGGAGAAAAUAGACGAGGGCUUCUCCAAAAACCCUUUGAAGGCAUCCAUAGCAUGGGAGAAAUGAAGGGAGGAGAUUUCAGUGCAAAUGAGAUGAAAACCUAAGGAAUUCUGAUCCUCAUUCGGCACGAUUUUCUCUCACGGAGUUGAAAGCUCAAAGUCAAGAUUACUGAAAGCUCAAAGUCAAGAUUAAGUAUCAAUUGUUUGGCAUCCAAGUAGGCUAUAUUUUUUUUAAUUGAGUAGUUAGACAUGUCUUUACUUGCAUUGUAUAUUGAGAAUUGCCAGAGAUUUCAUGUAUAAGCCUUCGGAUACAUAGUUUGAACAACUAAAUAUGUGGAUAGUUAUGGUUCAACUAAUGAUGAUUUUUAGAUUAUUAUGGUUGUCUUAUGAUGUUGUUGGGUGAUACCCUUAGGAAGGGAAAUUAUGGGUGAUUGGAGUAUGAUAAGGAAUUAUUCAUUGGUAGAUGAUGAUGGUGUGUUUUCAAAGUUAUGUAUGUAUGCAUAUUUACUGCUUUAUAGUAUUACUAGUGGAAUGCAUGAUGGAAACACAUAUGUGAGGAAUAUGAAAUGACAUCAUGUUGACAAUCUCAUGUGAUCAACGUAUUGUUUGAAUUAUGGUUUCAAGUGUGAUUUUUCAUUGUGAUUGUGAUUGUGCAUGAUUUUGUGUUUGUUGGUUGGCUUGGAUACCUUGCUGGUACAUGAAAACUAACGGUUGGCUCGAAUACCACGCCUGGUAUGAGUAGUAAUAUUGAUUGACUCAGAUACCACACUGAUACACUAAUAGUUUGUGUGUGGAUUUCAUGAGAAAUCUGCAUAUUUGCAUUUUAUGAUCAUGUGGAACAUGUUUCAUGCAUUGGUUAAGGUAAUGAUGGUGAUUUGUAGUGCAUACAUUGUGACUAUAUAUGGGGCAGAAGGGGGAGACUUGUGUUAGUGUUAUGUAAGUUAAUUAUUUACAUUCAUUUUAAUGGUGCAUAUCAACUCAGGAUAUGAACUGGGAGUCCAGACUAUGUUAUAUAUGUUAUUUAAAUUGUACGUGGUCUGUUUGCUAAGUUGAGAUUAAUAGGUUAGGUUGAUGUCCAUGAGGGGUCUUGUGUAUUGUUUAAAGGUUGGGACUAGUUAUGGUUGGCUAGUGUUUAGAACAUAUUUGAUAAGGGGAAUGUAAGUCAAGGUGGUAUAGUAAGAAUCUUGCAAGUGAUCUACUAAAAUGGGUCAAGGGCCAGGGUGUUGGCAUGAUAAUUUUAGGAAGAAUAGUAGGUUAGGUAAUAAGGUUAGUAGCGGUAUUGUAUUCAAGAAAUCUCUACGAGAUAGAAGGAUUAGGUUAGGAUAUGAUAUGAUGUUGGAAUGACCUAGAUGGUGUAGUUGGCAGCGAAAGGAGGUGGAGUGACUCGAGAUACAACUUAUGAGUUUCAAGGUAAUUUUACUUAUAGUGAGGGUGGUGAAUGGGUGGAUCACUGUCCUAAUUUUAUAUUAAAUUUACACAUUUCUUUGAUUGUCUACAUGAUAUUAUGUGGUAGGUUCGGACAUAGAUAACUGAAAUGGGUGAUUUGAAUAUAACUCCUGACCCAAACCUUUGGAAUACGAACAAAAUUAUUGUACUUACCCACAUUCUUGGACUUCUUAGCCUGUUGAACUCCCUCUACCUUCUUCAAAAAUUCAGUCACCUCAUUGAAACUCUUACUUGUAGAAGGUCAUAUGCACAGAAAAAACCAGUAAUUCAGAAUUCAAACAUUUGACGAACAAUAAGACCCUCUCUUCUUUCGUGCUCACCAACUGCUUAGCAUAUCGAGAUAGGGCAUGAAACUUAACCUCAUAAUCCGCCACAAUCAUGUUACCCUGCUCAAGAGACAUAAACUCAUCCUCUUUUCUAUCUCUCAAGGUACGAGGCAUAUACUUUUUCAAGAACGGGGCAUGAAAUUGUGCACAAGUCAAUAAAGGCAAGACCAACGAACGACAUUCCACAAAAUAUCUUCACUAUUGCUUUGCCUCACCCUAAAGCUAGAGAGUCACUAACUCAACCCUGUGUAAUUAUGCAAUUCUCAUUUUAUGAAGCCUCUCAUAGCAAUUCAAGAUGAACUCGAACUCAUCCUCUUUCUCGGAAUUACGAAACACUAGAGGCUUAAGCUUCAAGAAACCGCUCAACAUCUCAUGUUCAAUAUCAGUCAUCAUAGGGUCAAGCAAUGGAUGGAACAAAGCAUUAGCACCCAAGUCCCCAUCUACUUUAGGAAUAGUAGAAGCGAUAGUCCAAGUGACCAAAAUCUGAGUAGUCUGAAUCAUGGGAAUGGAUCUAGUACUUGUCAAUCCACUAAAAAAAGUUAGUACAUGUUGAACAGUCUCCGCGUUCAUAAAGGGAAGACCUGUAAUCCUAGUCAGUGUCCUAACCUCUUAUUCAACAUCAUCCUCACUCUCAAUCUCAAUCUCAUCCUCUAUAAGAUCCUGGGUGGGGUGGAGUCACUUUUCUUGGUACAUUUUCAGUCCGAGCUCCACCUCUAGUGGAUAUUGCCCUUUCUCUACCCCUGCACUUGCCCUAAUCUCUUUCUCUGCCUCUGCCACAUCCUCUAGCUACAUGCUCAACUUACUUUGUUAUUGGAACUACUAACCUUGCACCGUUACAUCAAGUAUGAACCAUCUGCAGAAAGAAGAUUGGAAUAGCUAGAUACCAAUUUGGAUCAUCAGAUACCAAUUGGAAUGAAGACAUAGUACGAAGAAAGAUAAUUUUUGAAAGUAUUGUAGCCUCUUGCAAAAAAAGUAUAGACAUCUCUAUACUAUUCCCUAGGACUAUACUAGACUCAUUUUGGUACUACAAGAUCAACGAACCUAGGGUUCUGAUAUCAAUUUUUUUUCACAAUCUUGAUCAUAGUGAGUGACACCCACUCUAAAUUGACUAUUGGGAGAAUCAAAGACUAACCCGAAACUAACCCAACAUCAUUAGUAAAACCAUGUUCAUCAUUAAAAAAAUAAGAAAAAUAAUAUAGAUAACCAAAGAAUUGAGUCCCCAUAAACUUAACCCAAUAGUCCAAAACAUUUAAUGUGGAAAUAACCCUUAAGAGUUGAAAGUCACCAUACCAAAAUUCUAAUAAUCAAUACUGGGAUGCAAUCCCGAAACUAAACAUAAAACUAAAGUUUAAUGUAUAUGCCCGAAAGGAUGAACAUAAAGAUGAAGAACCCAUGUUAGCCUGAAAAAUGUAGCUCAUCGUUGGAUUCAGAGUCAGAUGUCUCUUAACUAAGGUCUUGGAUCAGUCGAUGGAAGAUGUCAUGUACUGUACAAGUAAAAGAACAUGUGCAGUAUCAGUACACAAACCACAAUGUACUAAUAAUAUCACACAGUCAAUCCAAGAUAUGAAUAUUAACAGUUCACUACAAUACUAUAAUACAGAACAAUACAUAUAACAACAAUCACUACAAAAGGAACCCCAAUUACCAACAAAAAUAUUCGUUGGUAAAUUGAUCAAAUUGGUUGACAAAUUGAGUUACCAAUCAAAUGUCAACUUAUAUUAAUUUGUUGCUAAAAGGCUCGUCGGUAAAUAUUACCAACCGAUUUUAAUUUGUUGGUAAACUUACCAACCAAAAACAAGUUGGUAAACACCCAAAGAUGUUGUUACAAAAUUUUGAAACAUGGCCUUGAAAUUUCCGUUGGUAAAUUCACAAACUAAUUUUUGGUUAGUAUAUUGUUAGUACCUUUACUAACGAAUUGAAAAGGAGUUAGUAAAUUUUUUCUUCAUUAUUCGAUUCCGUUGGUAAUUAUAGUAACAAAUGUCUGAUAGUAAACUUUUCCAGAUACAUUGAGACCUCUUGGUUAAGGAUGAAUGAGUAUUUACCACUCCACCACAACCCUUGUUGGUAAUAAAUCAUUCAAGGCAACUCCGCAAGGGGAAUCGAACCUGAAACCUCUUGGUUAAGGAUGAUGGAGUACUUACCACUCCACCACAAUCCUUGUUGGUAAUAAAUUUUAAAUAUGUUAGUAUGAAUAUUUGCUUUUCUAAUAAAUUUACUAAUUGAUUGUUAGUUUGCUGGUAAUAUAUCAUUCAAGUUCAAUGUUAGGUUAGUAAUUGAUUGACAAUAUGUUCAAAAUAUUAUUAACUGAAUGAUUAUCCAAUAGUAAAAUAUUUAUUAAUUUAUUGCAUUUAAAAUCUAAGAGCACGAAUAUAAAUCCAAAAUACUAAUAUCAAUUUUAUAAAUCAUAUUUGAAUGAAACAAUGCAAAAUCUAUAAUAACAAGUUAAAUUAAUCUCAAUAUGACACAUAUCAUUAUAUCAAAAUUUUAAUUUGAGCACGUUUACCAAAAUAUUGACCAAAUCUAAAUUUUGGCCAAAAUUUAAAAGUUAAAACGCCUAACAGCACAAACUGAAAAUGGAAGCCUCAAAACCUGAACCAACCAUCCUAUUAGAUAUAAAAAUAACCUUCUGAAGCUAAUCAUGCUGACAAAAUUCUCAUCAAAGCACGUUUACAAAAAAUGUUAAGCAAAGUCAAAUUUUGGCCAAAAGUUAAAACUUAAAACGCCUAACGGUACAAAUUGAAUAUGAAAACCUCAAAAUCCAAACCAACAAUCCUAUAAGACGAAAAAUGAUCUUCCAGAGCUAACCGCGCUGACGAAAUUCAAAUUUGAGCAUGUUUCCCAAAAAAAUUGACCUGAUUCAAAUUUUAGCCAAAAGUUAAAACGCCUAACGACACAAACUGAAAAUAAAAGUUUCAAAACCCAAACCAACCAUCCUAUGAGAUCAAAACUGAACUUAUAUGACUAACCGCGGUGACAAAAUUUCAAUUCGAGCACGAUUACAAAAACUAUUGACUAAAGUGAAAUUUUGGCCAAAACUUAAAAGUUAAAAUGCCUAACAACACAAACUAAAAAUGGAAGCCUCAAAACCCAAACCUUCUAUCUUAUUACAUAAAAAAUGACCUUCCGCAUCUAACUGUACUGACGAAAUUCUCAUUUGAGCACGUUUAUCAAAUAUAUUGACCGAAGUUAAAUUUUGGCCAAAACUUAAAAGUUAAAAUGCCUAACAACACAAACUAAAAAUGAAAGCCUCAAAACCCAAACCAAUCAUCCUAAUAGAUAAAAAAUGACCUUUGGAGUUAAUUACACUGAUGAAAUUCUCAUCUAAGUACGUUCACAAAAAUAUUGACCAAAGUCAAAUUUUGGCCAAAACAUAAGAUUUAAAACACCUAACGGCACAAACAAAAAACGGAAGCCUCAAAACCCGAACUGUCUAUCUUAUUACAUCAAAAAUGACCUUCCGCAUCUAACUUCACUGACGAAAUUCUCAUCUGAGCACGUUUAUCAAAUAUAUUGACCGAAGUUAAAUUUUGGCCAAAAUUUAUAAGUUAAAACACCUAAAGGCACAUACUAAAAAUGAAAGCCUCAAAACCCAAACCAAUCAUCCUAAUAGAUAAAAAAUGACCUUUGGAGUUAAUUACAAUGGAUUAAUGAUCGGUUGGUAUAUUACCAACUAUUUUAAUGAUGUUAGUAAUUUACUAACUACAAUCUUUAUUCGUCGGCAAAAUUUUCAACUAAUUGGAUAUUGGUUGGCAAGUUUACCAACAAAUUACAUUUCGUUACUAAUUUACCAACACAUUUAUAUUUGAUUGGUAAAUUUAGCAUCACAAUCUUGCCGUUGGUAAAUGUUUGGUUAGUAAUUCAUUGGUAAUAUGUUAAUAAAUUAUAUAAACAAUUUUUUGUCAUAUUUACCAAUCAAUAUAUACUUCGUUGGUAAUAUUACGAACAAAAGGUGUGCGUUAGUAAUAUUUCAGUUGGUAAUCCAUUGAUAGAAUGUUGCUAAAUUUGGCGUCAUUUUUUCCCGCCGUAUUUACCAACUAAAAUACUUAGUUAAUAAGAUUUUGGUUGGUAAUCUGUUAGAAUUUCGUUGUUAAGUUUUAAAUUAUAAUUCAAUUAGAAAUAUGUUGGUAAUUUGUUAGUAGAAUACUAACCAACUUAAGUUGUUAGUAAAAUCUGUUGGCAAUUUGGAAUUUUUUUGUAGUGAAUUAUCAAACCACAUAGACUCUUAGUCAUAUAUCAUGAAAAAACAAUACCUUGAUGCAUGUCCCACAUGAUCACAAAUACAAAUGUCCGGUUCUCUUAUGGAACCACAAUCACAUACCUUGUCCUUUCACGGAAUCCAAACCCAAAUUGUUAGGGGUCAUUUAGUAGAGUGUAUUAGGAAAAAUAAUACAUACAUUAACUUUGUGUAUUACUAAUACCUUGUUUGGUACUCUUUUCCAACCUAUGUAUAACUAAUGCAAGCAUAAGUUAUAUACUCUAUUAUGUAUUAAGGUGUGUAUUACUAAUACCAUGUAUUUUUAGGUAUUAGUAAUGUAAUAGUUUUAAUGUGUGUAUUACUAAUACCCUUUAAAACCCUUUUUACAUCUUUUCCACCGUAAUUUUGUAGGGUAUCUUUGUAAAUAAAAUUUUUUUAUGCACCAAACCAAACAAUGCAUAAAAAUAAUUUAACUUUAACUAAUGCAAGCAUUACUAAUACAAGAAUUAUUAAUGCAAGCAUUACUAAUACAAACAUUAUUAAUGAAAGCAUUACUAAAUAUUAUAUUUAGCAUUAUUUUUAUACAAUAUACCAAACAACCCCUUAGUGUACUGACAUGGUACCCGAGUCAUCCAUAGUUAGUGUAUCGACGUGGUAUCCGAGUCAUCCGUAGUUAGUAUACCGGUGUGGUACCCGAGCCAACCAACAAUCACAAAUAAUUAUGCACAAUCACAACAAACAAUACCACUUGAAAACCACAAGCCACAAUAACAAGUCCAUUGCAUGAGAUUAUCGACAUGAUGUCAUUUCAUAUGUUUCCAUAUGUAUUCACUACCAUGCAUUGGAUUAAUGAUACCUCAAACCAGUAGAAUUACAUACAUGCAUAAACCGAAAAUAUACAACCAUUACCUACCUCAAAUCACGCCUCUUGAAAGCUCUAAAGAACCUGAUUUUUUCCUUUUUGAAGUGUCUUGACUUGUUUUCGGUUUAAAUAAUUAAGUAAAAAUAAUAAUCAAUCACUAAUGGACUAGGGAGUCAAAUUUUAUGUCAAAUAAUUAAAUAAAAUCAUGUCAAAACCUUCCUCCAAGAGCAAAUAUCUAGACUCUAAGGCUUAAGAAUCAAUGCAUAAGGUCGAGGAGUCUAAAUUUUACCUUUACCGAUGAAUUCCAUGAAAAAAUAAGUGGAAGCUACAUAAAAUUUCCCCUCGAAACUCCAAGUAUAAAGAGUGCAAAAAAUAGGAGUUUAGUUUCUGCAUAAAAUCAUGUUUCACCCCGCUAUAGUGGCCCAGUCCGCUAUAGUAGAACUUACCAUGUUAUAGCGGUCUGCACGUCGCUAUAGUGGGAUCAACAGAACUUCAUAGACUCGAACUUUUGAAAAGGACAUUUUUUUCACAGCACAACCCAUUCCCUAGAUGUCCCGACAUAUCUUAUCAUGUAACACCCCGAAAAUUUUUAAGCUAAGACUCGAACCAUUCUUCAUUUGUGAAUAAGAUUUUAUCAAGAAAUUUUAUUUUUUCUUAUGUGUUAAGGUCACUAGAUGUAGCACCUCGAGUUUCAAAAAGAACUGAAGAGAAAUGAGUUCAAGUCACCCAUCAAUUUUAUUAAGUUUAGGGUCAACUUCAAUCAACCAUAUCUUUUAGCACAUAAAGAAUUGUUUGGCUCAUAACCUAUCAAAUCUAAGGUCUUCGAGUACUCUUUCCAACGCCAUCAAUUUUGCCUCAAUCAAAGCUCUGGGUAAAAAGUUAUGACUGAUUUACUAAAGGCGCACGAGCCUGGCAGCAGGUCUGCGAUGGCUCCACGUUACGGAUCCAAUACGGACCUCACUACCCGGUGGAAAAUUAUUCCGACUUCCAGCUCAUUUUGUUUAUUUUCUUAAGGGUAUUUUAGUUCUAUAAACCCUUAGGAAGUCAUCUAAAUUAUCCUAAACGUGUAGAAAAAUCAGUUUUCAUAAUCAAACCCUCUCAUACACUCUAAAAUUUCUACGCUCAAGAAGCUUCAAGAAACGCUAAGGCUAGGGUUCAUCUUUCAAGAUUCUCCUUCAAGUUUCUUCAAGAACAUUGUUCUUCCAGGUAUGUAAGCUUUCAUAGUAUUGGGUUUGUUCUCCCACACACCAAUUAUAUAAUACUUCCAUGAAUUCAUUCUUGAAAUCGUUUGUAUUGAGGUUCUUGAUGAAGUUUUUGAGUUUUGGGUCUUGCGAAUGAGUGUUGUUGUUGAUAGAAUUUGAGUAAAUUUCAAUAAAAGUUCAUUGGGUUCGUGUUUUCUGAUAGAAAUUGAGUGAGAUUUCAAUGAUAUAGCGUUUGGGUUAUAAUUAAAGUGAGUUUGGAAGAGGAAGAGGAAAACGGCAAAAUAUAGGUGCCAGGCCCACGUCGCGGUGGCGCUUGAAAUUUCCAGCUUCAGUUGAAUACCCAUCUCUCCGCGUCGCGGAGAGGAUACAAAGUCUUCUGUGUCGAAUUUUAUUUCGCGAUCAAAAAUUAAAUUCCUCUCUGCAUCGUGCCAGUGUUUCUUCAAUUCGUGUCAUCGCUCUCUUCUUAUUACUAACUAUAUAAGCUAUCAUUAAUCAUUGAGAGAUCAUAUAUCCUAAUCGUAUCUCUUAAAUUCACAUUUUAAAUUAAAGUAAAGUAAAGAUGAAAGUCCAAGAGGUCCCUUUGAGUCAAAUUGAGAAUUUUUUGUAAUCAAAUAUAGUUUUGAGUUAAAUCUUGAAGAAGUAAGAAUGAGAAUGAAAAGAGUUGCAUUUAUGAGAGUCUAUAUUGUAAUUGAUAUCUUUGAGUCGAGUCAUUCAUGCCUAUAAUUUCGCAUGAACUCCAUAAAUUGAGUAUCCUUCAGAGGAUUAAUAUCGUUGAGUUAUGAGUUUCGAGUUCUUAAGUCUUGAGUUUUGAAUACCGAGUUCCAUAGUGCUAUUAAGAUCCCUGAGUUGAGUCAUUUAUGCCCAAACUUCCAUAUGAACCCUAUGAGUUGAGUUAUGAAUUUUGAGAAGCAUUUUUAAAGCCAACAUUUGAGUUCUUAAACUGAGUUUUGAGAAAGUAAAGAUGAGUUUUGAGGAAAGAGUUUUCUAAAACAUGAUUAGUAUGAUAAUCGAGCAUGCCAUCAAUGUAUUAUCAAUAUAGUAUCUUGAUAUACCAUCAAUGUUUAUGCAGUAUGACUUCCCGAGUCAUCAAUGAUCAUAUUAUAAUAUGAUUUUGAUAUAUUUUUUAGAAAGGAUUUUCAAGUAUGAGUUGAGUAAGAGUAUAAGGGGACUAUGUAUUCCCAGAGUUAUCAAUUUUUACAUUUAUAAAAGAGAAACUGAGAUUUCUAAAUGAGUUAUGAGUUUAAAAGAUAUUUCAAGAGGCGCAGUUACCUCUUUUAAGAGGGAAGUUUUAGCAAUUAUCUCAAACCAGAUGAAGAGUUAUGUUUUUAAAUAUAUGAGCAUGAUCUAUUAUUGGGAGUAGUAUUGAGCAUCAAUAUGGGAAUGAGUUCAGACAACUCAAAGUCCUCAUAAACCAUGUAUGCCAACAUGGGUAAAUGGUCAUACUUUUUAGAUGAUUCCUUAUUGCUUUUUAAGCAUAGCUUAGUGGAUUCACUUAGUUGAGAAUGGCCUCUACUCCGGCAAGGUAUAUGACAGUUCUGGCAGCGUGAGCGAGACGAUGUAUCAUCACGUAGCUCAUAGUGAUGGUUGUCGCUUAGAAAAUCUCCCAAAUAAGAAGAGUUAUUAUUGUAUUUUCAUAUACAUUUGAUUUAUUAUCUACUGUUUUAAGAGUUUCAUGCAUAUAGCAUCUUUUAUUGUUGCUUUCCUAUUGAGUUGAGUAUUCUUGAGUCAUAUUGAGUUGAGACGGGGUGAGUAUGUCUUCCUUUUUAUCAGUUCGAGCUUAUACUUAUGUUGCGAAUUUUCCCUUACAUGCUCGUACAUUUCAUGUACUGACGCCAUUUGGCCUGCAUCGUUUCAUGAUGCAAAUACAUGUAUUCAGGAUCAUCAACAGGCGUUUCGUUGAGGUCAUGUGAUAUUCCAGUCAACUUUGGUGAGCCUUCUUAUAUUCCGGAGGACUUCACCUUUACCUUACAGUUAGUAGUUUGGAGAUAUCGUGGGAUUUGUCUCGAUAUCCUUCUGUAAUAGUAGAGGCUUCAUAGAUAGACAAAGUUGAGGUGUUGUUCUGUAUUUACUGUCUUUGAGUAUUGUUCAGACUUUUUAAAGUUGAGUAUUUGAGUUUAAUGAAUUUAAUUCAGUUUUAAGCUUAUUUAUGCUUGAGUUAGUCUUCUGCUUGUAGUCAGCCAGGAUGAGGGUUCGCUUGGGGACCAGCAAUGGUUCUCGAGUGUCGGCCAUGUCCAGGGUGUAGACUCUAAUCGUGACAUAUCCACACCUAGAUCAAUUUCAAGAGUUCUAAAUAUGGUUGUGGAUUUUUAAGGAAGCAUCAUUUCAAUUUUAAAUAGUUCAGGAGGGUAUAGGACCCCCGUAAAAUAUAAUUGUGUAGUUGGAAAUUCGAAAAUCAAUUGAGGGCUCAUUUGAUCAUUUUCUCAUUUAUAAUUUAUAAAAUUAAUACAUAGCAAUAAUUUCAAAAGUUCAGUGAAGUCUAUCUCAAUUUCUAUGGUGGUAGAUGUUUUGUUUCUGAAUCAGUAUUAGACCAUGAUGUAAUGCUUAUAUUUCAGCGAGAAUAUGGUUCAGGACGUAAUGAUAACUACUUCAAAAAUCAUUUAUUUAUGACCCUAAUUAAUUCAAAUCUACCAUUUUUCGAUCGGUUAUCUGAUCUGAAAAUGCAUGCACGUCGUAAAUAGAAUUUUGUAAAAUAUGAGAAGAUUAUAUUACAAAAAUAGCUAAUUAAUUAUACCAUUGUUACUACUUAUUUAUUUAUUUAUUUGGUUUCAUUGAUAGAUUUUAAUAACUAAUCGUAAUUGGACGAAUUGUAAUAGCUAGUAAUUGUGUUAUCAAUAGUUUUUUAAAUAAAAAUAUAGACGUAUAAUUUUAGUGACCUCAAAUUCAUUAAUGUCAUUUUCAUAAUGGGUUUAUUUAAAUUCCCUGAGGGCUUCAUGACUUCAUCCCAUGAACGAUGUAAUCAAAAUUAACUUUAAAUUUUCAAGACACACAUUAAAUUAGUAAAUAUUUCAUGGUCCCGAUUAUAUUAAUUUAGAGAGGUUUUACUGUAUGACUUAUUUUAAUCACAUGUUUCAAAAAGAAUUCUAAUUAAAUUAUGUGUCAAGUCAAAUAAUAUCACAAAAAUUAGAACGAAAGGAGUAUGAAAUUUGAAAAAAAAAAAAAAUUUAAAAUAAAAAAUGAUAUUUGAAAAUAUAAGUGAUUUUAGAGUGAAUAAAGAUAAAUUUUAUAGCCACACAUAAUUUUUGAAAUUCAAUAUUUUCUAAAGUUGAAUUUCAAAAAUUAUGUAUGGCAAUAAAAUUCAUCUUGGACCUCUUUUAGUUUGCUUUAUUUUAUGUUUUUUUUUUUUUUUUUUUUUGGACCGGGCACUAUUGAACCUGUUGAGCAAAACUUUGAGUCUUUUUCCUUAGUAUAAAUUACAUAAAUUUUAAUAAUUUGGGCGUUAAUUACAUUAUAUCCUAAAAGUUCCUCAAAUUAUAAUAAUUUUGGAUUCUUCAAAACUCACGCAUUCAUUGCUCCUUCACCCGAUACAUAGCAAAUGAUACAUAAGUUAUGUAUCGCUUACAUAACAAUAAUCAGAUUCAUACUGAUUUAUGCUUGAAAUAAUUAGGGUUAUGUAUCAACAAUAACAUUUGUACCAGAUACAUUGUACGCAAACAAAGCUGUAAUGUAUACGAUAGAGAUGGGGUGAUGUACCUGGACGUUAAGAGAGAAGAAAAAUGAUUUUUUAUAAUUAAUUAAAAUAAUAAUUUUUUUUAAAAAAAUAAUCUUUAAGUCGAGCAAUUACGGAAUUUUGCCCUUUUCAAUAUUAAUAAGAGAAGAGUUUGAAAAUAUGUUAGGUGGAUGAAUACCUUAACAUGACAUGUGAUACUUAACCCUAGAUUUACCCGGACUCUAUAUGAUCCAAAGAGUCGGUAAAAAGUAGAAACUUUUUGCAGAAAAUAAAUUGAUGAAAACUAAAAGCAAUCGUUCCAAAAUAAAUAAAUAAAACAGAAAGAGCCAAGAAAAAAUGUGGUGCUGUGAGCUGUGACAGGUCAAUGCAUAUGAUUCAUUAAUGUAGUUACUGUACUUCACUUGUCUUUUUACCAUAUUUCAUUGCUUCUUUUGAAAAAUCAAAAUCAAAAUCAAAGUACCAUGAAAUAUUUAUUACCACAUACAUUGUUAUGAGAAAAAUAAAUAUAAUGAAGACACGAAAUUGAAGAGUAUAUUUGAAAGUAACAAGUGAAGGUUAUAUUUUAUGUAUUUAAAUCUACGAAAUUUAAAUUUUGAAUCUGUCUUUUUUUUUUAGUAGCGAACGCAAUAACUUUUGAUACACACAGUGACUUUUUUCAAUGAGCUUUCACAUUUUUUCUAUAUCGGUGAUUCAAAUACGAGGUGAAAAUUGCUUACCAUUUUAGCAAUCUUCUCUUGUCGUCUUCUAGUGAUUCAUACUCGAAAUUUCUAGUUUGCCAUUAAAAUUUCAAUUUUUUUAGAGUUGGAUUAUGAAUAAUAUGUUUGAUCUAAAAUUUUGAAUUUUCACUCCACCUUACUUAAAAGAAAUUAAAAAUAAUUCCAAGUUUUGAACAUCAAUAUAAUAUGCCAAGCACGUAGAUUUUAUUUAUUUUUGUGAUAUGGAUAACAGUGAGAUUCGAUCCUAAGACCUCUGUUUGUUUUAAUAUCAUGUUGAAGUAUGUGACUAUUUCAUCUUAAAAGUUUAAGAUAUUAAGGAAAACAUAUUUUUAUUAGUUAAUUAUAUUCUCAACAAACGAUAAAACAUGAUCAAACGUCCACGUCAACGUCCCGUCUAUCUACAGUAUAUAGUAAGUCCAAAAUAGAUGUACAGUAGAUAUAACCUGAUAAUCCCCUCUUGUGACAUGAUGUUUCGUGAAAACUGCCUUUGACCCAUCUGGCUGCUCAUCAUCAUCAUUAUACAUAAAGAUAAAAGAUAUGCUAAUGUUUCAAACAGUACUCACAGUCACAUCUUUCUACAACUCUACUGCCACUCUGAUAUAUAUUUUUUUCGUUUUAAUUUAUUUGAUAUAAUUUAAUUUGAUAUGAAAAUAAGAAGAAAAAAAAUAUACUUUUGAAAUGUGUGAUAUAAAAUAAGUACUAGUAUAUUUUAUUUUAUGUGACACUCUUUAUUUUUAGUUUGUCAAAAAAAAAUGUUAUCUUACUAUAAUUAAAUAUAAUUUAAUUUUGAAUUUUCUUUUUUGUACUUAGUGAAAUAGUUUAUCAUCACAUAAAUAUUUAAGUAUUAUUUUAGACCACAUUUUUUUAAAUAUAUCGUAAUAAAUCAAACGAUAUCACGUAAAUUAUAUUAACUUAGAGUCUUAGACCGACAAAGUAAAGUAUCACAAAUACGUUGGAUUUUUACAAUUGGGGAGAAUUGGAGUAGCGUCUUAUAUCCAGAAGUGCAUAUUAUAUUUUUUGCAUAUUUAUAACAACACAAUAGAUAAAUAAAUUAAUAAAUAAAAAGAAAAAAUUAUUAUGCAAACUUAUUAAAUAAUUGAUUGGACAUGCAAUUUUAUCUAGUAAUUUAAAAUUAUGAGAUGAAAUUUAUGUUUGGAUAUGUGAUUUUAUUUCCUAAUUUCAAAUCAUAAGAUGAAAUUUCAAAUUUUCUUCAAAAUGUUUUGAUUUGGAAAUAUCACAUCAUGAUUUCACAUUUUUCCGAAUAUAAAAGUUGAUCCACAAAUUAAUAUAUCGUAAAAAACACACUAUUUUAUAUUAUUUUUUUAUUUAUGAAAAUACAAAAUGAGUGAUGAAAUAUCCAUGAAAUAUGAACAUAAUGAUAUAUUUAUUACUAAUCAUACUGAACAACAAAGGAUGCAAAUUAAAGAGUAAUACAUUAUAACUCAUGUUCAAUUUUAUUUUUUUACUGAGCUAAAAUCCAACUAAUAAAUGUUGUAUUUUUUUUAGAAUAAUUUUGUGAUAGUGAAUUAUAAUACUUUUAUUAUGAUGCUUCUUUGGUAAGACUGUAUAUAGAGAAUUGAGGUGAUUUUAAUGUUUAUGAACAAAACAUACAACUUAAAAAUUUAAAUAACAUGUCCAAACAAAACUUUAAUUUUAUUUUAUAUAAUUUAUAUCUUGCUUUUAAAAUUAUAAUUUUAUCUCACAUGAUCAAACGGUUCCAUAUAUAUCACAUUUUACCUAUUGUGUUGACUUAAUAUUAUUCCUUGUUUUUUGGCCGAAAGAUAUGCUUCUAUACAUCACAAAAAGUUCUUUGGACUUGAUAAUGUCAAUUCAAUUAAAUAGUUCCCCUAACAAUACAUACAUCUAGCACUUUUCUUCAAUAGGAAAUUGAACCAAUUAAAGAUGAUAAUUUGAUGGAAAAUGCUACUUGUAUUUAUGGUCUUAAAGACAAGACAGGAAAUACUGCUCCUCCCAUCACAUCCUCAGAUGUUGAAGGUUUUGCAGGCUAGAACUUUAUUUCCCUCAAAUUUUUACUCCCUUCUUCUCAAUUCAUGUAACAUCUAUAUUUAAAUUUCAAUAUUUAAAUAAGUCUAUUUUUAAUUGUAAAUUUUUUAUAUUCCCUCCAUCUCAUUUUAUGUGUGGUAGUUUCACUUGACACGGAAUUUAAGAAAAAAAAAGACUUUUAAAACUUGUGGUCUAUAAUGAAUGAUAAAAAUUUAUGUCUUAUAAAUUAUUUCAUUAAAGGUAAAAUAGACACUUUAAACUUAAUUUGUUACUUAAUAUAUAAAUGUGUCAUUCUUUUUAGGCAGAUUAAAAAGGAAAUUAACUCAUAUAAAUUAGAACAGAGAAAAUAUAUCUUUUAAAUGAUUUGAAUUAUCAAUUUUUAUGACUUAUAAUAUUUUUUUCUUUUUACUUAAUUUACAAAUAUUUACAUGUUGCUUUCAAAAGCACGUGCAAAUAUAAAUAAUCGUAUAAGUAAUAAAGUGAUAAGAGUAUUGAGUAUCGUCCCACAUAAAGUAAUGUUAAUUAUCUAAAAAAAAAAGGAAUAAAAUUGAUCAAAGAUAUAAUUAUUAACUAAAACAAAAAGAAGAGAACUUUAAUCAAACAAAGAGUGAAUUUUUAUGUUAUCAAUGAGAAUAUGAGAUGAAUGCUUCAGGAUUGUUGUUGGUUCAUCAAUUUUAUUGUGUGUUCCUAACUAUUCCUUGUUAACUCGACUUACCUACGAUUGCUAAUUAAUCGGAUUAUUCUAUUGCGUGUUCCAAACUAUUUGCUUAUUAUCCUAACUCAAAUAUUGUAAUCGUCGUGAUGACACCUACUCUCAAUCCCUUAAGCAAAUCAUAAACCGAUUUUAAAUUUAUUAAUCCAACUAUUAUGUGGAAUAGUGAAGUCAUGAGAUUAACAUCAAAGUCAAUAAUUGAGUCUCAUAAUCAAUUUCAUGCGGAUUACUAAACAAUCAUGCUUUUGGCAGUAACCCUAAAUCUUGUUUAGCUACUCACGUUCUAAUCAAACUUGGAAGAAUUUAUGUUGUACAUGCAAAAUUAAAGAAGAGAAAAGUAAGAACCUUAAGAAUAUCAUCUUCUCUCCGUCUUGUGGUUAGUCAAAAAGUGGUCAACCCUAAAAAAAAAUCGUCCAAAGAUUUUAUUUAUAGUAAUGGAAAAUAACUCUUAUAUCUUUUGUUGAAAUAUUGUCUCCGUGUUGCAACCCUCAAUGUGGAGCUCUGCGGCACACUCCUCAUUGCAAAGUUUGAGCUCCAUGGCGCGGGGCUCAUUGCGAAGAGGGAUGGGAAUUUCAAUCUUUCAAAGUUUAAGCUGUCGCGAUCCAAAUCACCGGACACCAACUCUAACAGCUAGAUAAAAGAAUCCUUACAAUCCAAUUUAAAUUGUUAAUGCGAAAGUGAAAAAAAUAUAAAUUCAUUGCCUUAUUUAAAUACAUAUUUACUCUCAAAUUCGAUUAAAAUAAAAGUACGUUUUUAAAAUACCUGAAAUCCUCCCAAUGAACUAGUCUAAACAAGUACUAGAGCUUCUAAGAGAAUACAAUAAUUGAAAAAUAAGACACAACUCCCACCAUAAGGAAAAUAUAAGUAAAAGUUGUCGGAGAUCAUCGUCAUAUUCACCUAAGAAACAUCAUCGAUCCUGCAACCAGACUAUGCUAAGUGGCAUAGCAGUAUCAACACAAAUAACAUGUACUGUUAGGCAUCAUUGAUCGACCCAAAUCCACCACAUAAUAUCAUUUAAUUAGUCAGAAGAAAAUAUAUAAUUUGAACUAUCAAACCCCUAUCCUUUACACACAACCAUUACUAUCGAGUAAUGCUACCUUCAAACUCAUACACUAUGUACCAAGCGUUCUUACCUUGUUUUCGUUGUUGACUCCGCCAUUAAGAGUCAAUUUCACCCUCCUAUCUUGUCAUAUCUUAACCCUACUAUGACAUAAACUUUUUCAUACCUGCCCCCUUCUACUAAUACUAGAAUUACUCUACUGAAUUCCAUUCCAAAAAUUGAAUCCACCAACUAACUCUAUUAAAUAGUAUGUAAUUUCUCCUAUAACCCCCUACCAAUACCCUGGCCCUUAGCCCUUAGCCACUCAGUGGACCGCCUACAAAAUCCUUAUUUAUUUUUGUUGACUUAUAAUUAACCCAAUAUAUAUAAUUCAGCACACCCCUCAAGUAACUCGAACUAUUCAAGAAUUUCUAAAAUAUCAUUUACGGUGUUUAACAUGAAAUUUCGAUCUACACAAAGGCCAUCCCAACAUUUAAACCCACCAAUCCGGUCACUAAUGGACCAACAUGUGAUGAAUGCAUCAAAAUAAAUAAAUAUCAUUCACCCAUGGAACAACAUGUGAUGAAUGCAUCAUAAUAAAUAGACCCGGUUCACUUACGGAAUCAACAUGUGGUGAAUACAUCAUAAUAAAUAAAUUCGGUUCACUUAAGGAACCAACAUGUGAUGAAUGCAUCAUAAUAAUUAAUAAACAUGGUUCCUUCAUGAAACCAACACACAAGAGAACAAUCAAACACAUACUAGGUGUGGUACACGAGUCAAUCAAUUUAGAACUUAUAUCAACAUGGUACCCAAGUCAAUCAUUAAUAUGUACCAAGCAAGGUACCCAAGCCAAUCAUUAAUAUGUACCAAGCAAGGUACCCGAGACAACCAUUAAUAUGUAUGAGGCGUGGUACCCGAUCCAAUCAAUAAUAUGUACCCGACGUGGUACCAAAGUCAACCAAUAAUAUGUAUCAAGUGUAGUGCCCGAGCCAACCAAUAAGAUGUACCAGACAUGGUAAAGGAGCUAACCAAUAAUAUUUUCAUGGCACGGUAACUGAGCCUACCGAGAAUUACAACAUCACACAAUCACAGUAAUUACAACCACACUUGUAAGACCAUAAACAAAUAAUACAUGUUCAUUGCAUUAGCUUAAUAACAACAUAUCAAUUCACGUUCAUCCCUUGUAACUCUUUAACCAUAUAUUGUACAAGUAAACUAGCGAAUAAUUAACAAGAGGACAUAAUGUAAAUCAGAAACAUAUCAACCAUUACUUACUUCAAGCGACCCUUCUCAUACAAUUUUUAUAUGGGUGGUACCAUGUAAACAAAUCAACCAUCACUUACUUCAAGCCACCUGACCUAUUAAUCCACCUCGAACUACCACUUUUAUGGUUAUACUAGUGAAUUAUGGUAAUAUAAUCAUUAACAAAUAUUUUUUGCGAAAAACCCAAGGUUUCUACGCACACCAAUUCUUCUUACACCAUAUUUUUCAUCCUAGGCCAAAUCAAAUCCUCCCCAAGGUCCGCAACUAUCGAUUCUAAGGCAUAGGAAUUGAAGUACCAAGUUGGGGAAACAAAUUGCUUACUUUUACAAAGAUUCUUGACAAAAAUUUGAUAAAAUUCUUCCCAAGUCGCCUCUGCACUUCCCCAAAAUAUUCUUAAGAAAGAAGGAGAGGUUUUGGGGAAUUUUAUGCAUUUAAUGCGACUUACCCCAUCAUAGUAGCAUGAUCCCGCUAUAGCGGCAUCACCCGCUAUAACAAGAAUUUCUUUAGUCAUCAUAGUAGCGUGUCACCCUCCAUAGCAGCUGACACAAGACAAAACCUUAGAAAUACUCCCAAAAUUGCCCAUUUCACAACGCACCUUCAAACCUUGACAUUCCAAACCAACCUCUUCACGCCACGUUCGAUAUUAGGAGCUUUACUCAUUCAAAUUUAGUUCCAGAAAGUCCUACGGAUUCCUUAAGGUCUUAUCUAGGUAAAAAAACAAGCUUUAACUUAGACAUCUUACCCAAUAAUUUUUUGGAUUUUUCUAGACCUCAUUUUGCUCAAAUUUCAUCCAAGCCUAACCUAGCCUGAAACUUUCAACUCUCUACCCCAAAAGUUUUCUCGCCUAAUUUUUUACAUUUAACUCACUCAUAAUGACAGAAAGAGUCGUUACAUAAGCAUUGUCUUGAUGCGGUGUUCCUCAUGAAGAGGUACCGGUGUUAGAAUGUAUUUAUCCACUAUACGUCAAAGGACUAGGUCCCUUGACUCAGCAAGAACAGUAACUAAAAUAAAUACGUUAAAAUAAACAACACAAACAGUUUACGUGUAAACCCUUUUGCUCAAGGAAGGACAAAACCACGACACGUAUUCACGGGAUUUCAACUCAAAUCCAUUAUCAUCAAGGAGCAAAGAUUCAGAUUACAAGCUCUUUCAAUCUAGGAUUUAACUCUAAAUCUCUUCCCCUUUACGGUAACAGCUCUGUUACGAACAAACUUCAAAGCAACAUCUCAGUUGCUCACUAUAUCAACUAACCCUAAUCGAUUUAGACUUCACUAACUCACCAUAGCUAACUCUAGCUAUAACUCAUAAUCAAUGUUGAAUAUACGAACUAAUCUGAUUCCUUUAUAACACAAGAAUAAACUACAAGAGUAAGCACAUAUAUAUAAACCUACAAUAACUAAGAACAGUGACAACUUUAUCAGGUCCCUUGUUGUUCUUGAGGAGAAUAUUACUAGAGAGAAUGGUUUUUGCUCUUUUCAAAAUUUCAAAAUGCAAAAACUAGGUUGUGUCCAUUAGAUAUAAGGCUUAUAUAUGAUGGACACAAAACCCUAGAAGCAAUGUCAUUGGCUGACGAACCUGCCACUCUGCACCAAACCCGCACCACCUCCUGAAGAUGGCAAAGAGUGCAGAGUACUUUUCCAGCUGUUCUUUUAUCGUACAAGAGCACUAUUCUCACAUGGAAUUAGAUCCCCUUAUCAGAUCCCAUGGUUUGUCAAAUCAACAAAACUACAUGUUAACAUUUCCCCCCUUUUUGAUGAUGAUAGACUUCUAUUCUUCUUCCCACUUCUACUUCUCUUCUCCUUCCUACUUUUUCCCCCAUCAACAAUAUCAGGUACCUAUUCCCAGUGAACUGGAAGAAUCUAUCCUAUGCAUACCAAUAUUCCCCCUUUUGGCAUCAUAAAGAAGAAAAAGAAGUAAACCAAGAUUAAAAGUAAGCAAGAAUGGUAAAACCAUGAUCAUUCGGCAACACAAGCAUAAAUGAAAAGCAGAAAAUUAAGAAACGUCAUUAACAACAUAUGGAGUUCAUUUAAUUUCAUACAAAGAGUGCAUUGAAAACAUUACAAAUAAACUACUAAGAGAACCACAUGACAAAAUCCACUGAAAAAAGGGUAAAGGGAAGACAGAUAGCAAGGACCAGGCAUGAACUAGGAAGUAGGGGGCUUUUGGGUGAGGGAUUGCAGGAUAAUAGUGAGACAAGCAUCUGCAUCAUCAUAGGUCUUGCUCAGCUUUUCCUUGAGUUCAGAAUUUUGAGCCAUGAGGGUUUUAUUUUUAUCCCUUAGUUGGUGACUUCAGCCGAACUUUGUCCCUCAGUUUGAGCCUUUACCAACUGUGCCUUCAACAAAGUUAUCUCUGUAUCUUUCUCGCUCAACAAUGUUGUCAUUUCCUCUAACUCAUUCCUCAAUUGACUAUGUUCUACCACCAACUUAUACAUUUUACUCAUGUGCCCUAUUUUUCCUUUCACACACUCACACUCAACAAGGGGUGUUCACGGAGAAGGUUUGCUUCACUGUUCCUCUUACACCUGCUUCAAGAGGAAUCUCCAAGUGACUAAACACACUUGUUAAGAAGUAGCUAUAACCCAUGCCAUGUUUCCCAUUUUUCACUGUAACAGUCUUGUGUAUACGUUCUAGCAUGAUGGCUGGAAGGUUUAUGGCAUCAAACUUGCACAGUGCUUCCAUAAAAAACAGGUCACCCGUAGAAGCAAUUGCUCUUUUCUCAGAUCUAGGAAGAAUAACUUUGUUCACAAACUCAAAAAUCAAUUGAUAUACACCAUUCAUAAGCUUCUUAGGAAUACCAACACAGCUUAGCUUUGGGAGUUUACCACAUACUUGAACAAACUUUUGGAGCAAUAUUGCCCAGCCACUGACCUGAUCCCUUCCAUGGGUACACCUAGAAUCUUUCCCAACCUUUCCUCAUUCAAGUGAAAAUUUUUGUCACCUACUCGCGUAUUGAGACUCCCAUCUUCUAUGAAUUCAACAUUAUAGUAGAAAUCACUGACUUGAUCCUCAUGCAAUAUUGGAAUGUGAUUUACAAACAAGUGAGUCCAUGUUUGUACUUCCACAGAGUCUGCCAGAUUACACAUUCCUGGCUUGGUGAUUAUCUCAGGGUCAAACACCCUUCCAUUCAGAACCUUUUGUUUUUUUAAAACAUUAACUCUCUCUUCCCGAGUUAACUCUUUUUCAACCUUCAUCUUUUUACUCUUUGAACCUGGUCCCUUUUCAGACUCAGGCUCAGAUGCUGCAAAGAGUUCCUCAGUAUCAGGUGAAACUUCUUUUUUUUCUAUUUGAGGUCUCCUUUACUCUCCUAUUCACCGCCUCAUUCGUCGCUCUAUUUUUUGAAUCCACUUAUUUUCUAACUAGUGCUUUCCUUGUUUUGGAUUUCUCCGUUCCUAAUGCAUAUUUCUUCCUCUUUUCAAUUGCAGAAAUGAUGUCCUCUGACACAAUGUCACUCUCAUCAUGCUCAUUUGAGAUUUCAACCACUUAUUCGCCUGGGACCAGGUUCUCUUCCACUACAGUCUUUCUUCUUCUCCUGCUCUCAGUUGUGCUAAGCUUAUUCACCUUCAUUGCAUCACUCAUGAACUUUCUUGUUGAACCCUUGGUAGGGUAUUUUUUUUGCGGAUUUCUCUUCUGUCACUUUCUCUUUUCCCUUACUUGAGAUAGGAACCAUUCUUCUUUGCACAACCCAAUGCAAAGGACGAUUGUCCUCUUCAUCAUCAAUAAUAGUAGAGGGUAGAAUGGUUCCUUGGGUUUUAUCGAACAUUGGUUCAGAGGUCUCAAUAGGAGCCUCUGGAGUUCUAUCUCCUUCCUCGAAAAAUGGAGCUCUUGUGCUUUCCCUCAUUUCAGUGAGACUCUCCACCAUUAACUCUUUACUAGCAGCCAGAAUAUUAGACUCAGAUUUUUUCUCUUCAGGAAGGUCUCCCUCAAAGAGAAGUUUAGACAAAAUAGAGGAGAUGUGACCAGGUUGAGAUAGAGACAAAGGGAUUUCACUUUCUUGAACCGUUUUGGACUAUACAACCUUAUAAAGGGAGGAAUUUUGAGGGUCAUUUAGAUCUAAAUAAGGGGAGCACACUGGAGAGCCUUUGUCAACGGAAUCUGGAAUGACUUCAGGAGUUGGGAUUUGACAUUCUUCAACCGGAGGAAUGGUUGAGAUUGGUGUUGAAAUAGGGUUAAUGGAGAGAGAGGUAAAGGCCACAAGAUCUAUUUCAUUUAGAAUGUUCAGCAUCUUUUGGAAAAGAGAUGAAGUUUGAGACAUUUUGUAGAGAAAAAAAAAUAGGAGAAAGAUGUUAGGGUUUAUGAAAGAUUAGAGUAAAGAGUUCAAAAUUUUGGGAAGAGAGAUGAGGAAAGAGAGUAUAAAAAUAAAUGAAGAGGUGUGUCAGGUCCCUUGAUAGGAUACGUCGCUUGGAGUUAAAGCGAUGGGAUAAUGGUCAAAAGACAGUUGACUGACACAUGGCAGUCACAACGAUUUUCAUUAGUAGUUUGAAUAUAAUGUAAGAGUGCUUACCCUUUUGAGAUAUGACCAGGUCCCUCUGUGCAAUUUGAAUAUAUUUAUCCCAGAAUUGUUUUUUCCUUCCUUUAUACCAGCAAAUCAUUAUGAGUGUAUACCUGCAAAAGGUAUAAGAUUGAUUUUACCAGAACAAGAAUUACAAAUAACAAGGAUACCUGCCUCCUAACCAUAGCCAAUGAGGGUUGGAUGUUUUAGAUGGAGUCAGCUCAGUCAAGCUUCAUCAUUCCCAACCUCAAUCUGUUAUUCUCAAACAAGUUCUUAAUCAAGGCUUUGGUGAAGAUGUCAACAAUUUGAUCCUUAGUCUAACAAAAUUGCAUACAAAUGUUUCCCUUUUCUACAUUAUCUCUCAAAAAGUGAUGUCGCACAUCAACGUGCUUAGUCCUUUUAUGCUGACCUGGAUUCUUUGCCAUAUUGAGUGCACUUGUGUUAUCACACAAGAGUGGGAUAGUGUGAGUAAUCACUCCAAAGUCUUAAAGUUGUUGCUUUAUCCAUAGAAAUUGAGCACAACAACAUGCAACUGCUACAUAUUCUGCUUCAGCUGUAGAAAGAGCCACUGAAUUUUGCUUCUUAGUUCCCCAGGAGAUAAGUGAAGACCCCAAAAAAUGAGCCAUUCCUGUGGUGCUCUUUCUGUCAACUAGAUACCCUGCAUAAUAUGCAUCUGCAUAUCCCACCAGUUCACACGAGUCUCCUGAAGGAUAGAAUAGGACCAGGUCCCUAUCUUUUUCAGAUACCUUACGAUUCGCUUGGCAGCUUUCAAAUGAGACUUCUUAGGGCAGGCUUGAAACCUAGUACACAUACCCACACUAAACACAAUAUCAGGUUUGCUUGAUGUCAAGUACAUCAAUGAACAAAUUAUGCCUCUAUACAUAGUUUCAUUCACCAUGGGACCAGGUUCAUCUGCAUCCAGUUUUGAGUUUGUUCCCAUGGGAGUGUCAAUAGGCUUUGUAUCCAUCAUAUGUUUUUUUUUCAAAAGCUCUUUGAUGUACUUUUCUUGACAAAUAGAGGUACCAUUUGAUGUUUGUCUGAUCCGCAACCCCAGGAAGAAACUUAAUUCUCCCAUCAUACUCAUUUCAAAUUCACUCCUCAUUAGUGAAGCAAAUUCCUCACACGUGACUUCAGACGUUGCUCCAAAGAUAAUAUCAUCAACAUACACUUGGAUAAUGAGCAAUUAUUUACCUCGUGUUUUUAAAAAGAAAGUAUUGUCAAUUUUUUCUCUUUUGAAACCAUUUUCUAGAAGGAACUUACACAAUUUUUCAUACCAAGCUCUAGGAGCCUGUUUUAGACCAUAAAGAUCUGUAUCCAAUUUAAGCACAUGAUUUGGAUAAUCAACAUCUUCAAAUCCAGGGGGGUUGCUUUACAUAAACCUCUUUCUUCAAGUAACCAUUCAAGAAUGCACUUUUCACAUCCAUUUGAAACAAUUUGAAUUCCAUAAAGGCUGCAAAAGCAAUGAGAAUUCUGAUAGCUUCCAUCCUUGCCACAAGGGAAAAUGUUUCAUCAUAAUCAAUGCCUUCUUCUCAGUUAUAUCCCUGCACCACCAGCCUUGAUUUGUUUCUUGUAAUAAUUCUAUGUUCAUCCAUCUUGUUCCUAAAGACCCAUUUGGUCCUUAUUGCAGUUCUAUCAUAGGGCCUUGGGACUAGGUGCCACACUUUACUUCGUUCAAAUUGGUGAAGUUCCUCUUGCAUGGAAUUCACCCAAUCAUCAUCUUUCAAGGCUUCCUUGGUAUUUUUAGGCUCAAUAUUCGAUAUGAAUGCUGAGAAUUCAACUAGAUUUCUAAUUUUGGACCUAGUAUGCAUUCCAGAAUUCAUAGGAGAAAUAAGAUUAUCAAGAGGAUGAGAAGACUUGUGUUUCCAUCCUGACUUAGUUGUCAAGGGUUGCGGCUAAUCUGCUUCUUCCUCUUCAUUUUUAGAAUCUUCAUUCUCAGGUUGAACUGCAUCCUCUGGUUCAAUAUUAUCAAACAAACCAGGUCCCUCUUCAGGUUCAACAUCUUCAUUUACUUUUUCAGUUGGAUCUGGUUCAAUUAUAUUUGGAUCUUGAGUUCUUUCAGCUUGUGACUCAUUCAGACUAUCUCUCUGAAUCUGAAGUAGUUCUUCUAGCUCAUCAUCAUCCUUGUUCUUUAGAUCUUUGAUAUCACCAGUUUCAUAUAAAAUAUCAUAUGAACACUUUCUUCAAUGCACAUUGUCCUCUUAUUGUAAACUCUAUAAGCUUUACUUGAAGAUGAAUAUCCCACAAACACUCAUUUAUCACUUCUACGAUCAAAUUUUCCUAGAUCAUCUUUCCCAUUGUUCAGUACAAAGCAUUUGCAUCCAAAAGCCCUUAAAUAACUCAAUUUAGGCUUUCUAUUGUUGAGCAGCUCGUAAGGAGUUUGGUUUAGAAAAUACCAGAUCAAACACCUGUUAGUCACAUAAUAGCUGUGUUAACUGUUUCAGCCUAGAAUUUUUUUGGAAGAUUUGAAUCAAUGAGCAUAGUUCUGGCAGUAUCAACCAGAGUUCUAUUCUUCCUCUCAACAACACCAUUCUGUUGAUGUGUUCUUGGAGCUGAAAAGUUAUGAUGAAUGCCAUUUUCAACAUAAAAAUUAUCAAGCUUGGCAUUUUCAAACUCAGUCCCAUGAUCAAACCUCAUCCUUGCAAUCUUGCAGUUUAUCUUUGUCUGAAUCAUUUUAACAAACAACAUCAACACAUCAUAUGUUUUAUCUUUGGACCUUAGAAACAUAGUCCAAGUGUACCUUGAAUAAUUAUCCACAAUCACAAGGAUAUACUUCUUCCCACCUCUACUUUGAAUCUUCACAGGGCCAUAUUGAUUCAUAUGAAUUAACUCAUGAGGUCUUGUUGUGCUUACUAGCUUCUUUGAUUUGAAAGAUGAUCUGAUCUGUUUUCCUUUGAUACAUGCAUCACACACUUUUUCAUCACUGAAUUUUAAGUUUUGGUAAUCCACGGACUAGGUCUCUGAAUACAAGUUUGUUUAACAGAGAUGAUCUCACAUGACCAAGUCUCAUUUGCCACAAGUCACCAUUUUCACUUUAGGCACUAAGACAAGUAAGAUCAUCUUCUUGGCAGUAUCUAGAUCAGCAACAUACAUAUUCUUUCACCUUCUUGCAGUUAAGAUUACUUCCUUUGAAGUUAGAUUUGUAACAAUACAACUUUCUGAUAGAAAUCUGACAUCAUUACCUUUAUCACAUAUUUAAGAAACACUAAGAAGACUGUAUUUCAAUCCAUUCACAUAGUAUACAUUCUCAAUAGAGUGCUCAAUAAUUUUUCCAAUUCUUCCAACUCCCAGAAUGUAACCCUUCUUUCCAUUUCCAUAUGAGACACAUCCACCUUGAAGUGCCUUGAGUAAGAGGAAGUUUUCAAUUUUUUCAAUCAUAUGUUUUGAACAUCCACUGUCCAUGAACCAGCACUGAUUGUUACUUCAUCCACUCCCCUGAAACAUAGAUUAUUCAUUAGAUUUGGGAACCCAUUUCAGUCUGAGAUCCUAGUAAGUAGAUAUAGGCAUAAUAAGGGAAUUUCUCGUCCAGUGUGGCAAGAUAGUCUUUGUCAUGUUAUGAAAAGAGCCAGAGUUAGCACAAUGUCCCUUAUUCUGUAUGAAUUUUUGGUCGGAAUAGAUUGAGAAACUUUCUUGAGUUUUUUUCCAAGCUGGACACUCCUUCUUCACAUGACCAUUACGGCCACAAUGGAGACCUCAAAGAUUGUCAGACACUGACACAUAUUUGUUGUGAGGGUUAUAGAGAGGAAUUAUGUUCAAGCUUCCAAACCCUUCCCAUCAUUUUGACCUUGACUAGUAAGAUUGGCAAGCAAUUUUGAAAAGUUGGUCCAUUUGAGAGAUUUGUUCGGUUCUUCUUUGACACAGACCAUGUCCUUUUCUAACUGAUCAUUUCUCUCCUAGCCCAUAGAUAGUUUCAUUUCAUAAUUAUUCAAGCUAGUUUACAGCUAGAGUUGUAAACUGCUAGAUUCACCUUUUCCUCUAGCACAUUUCCUACUCAACUUAUUUAAUUUUUUCUUGAGUUCUAGACUUUCAGAUUCCAGAACCAUUAUUCGUUCUUCCAUUACUGACAUUUGAGAAACCAAAGCUGCUUUUUCAUCAUUAAAAAUAUCUAGACUGUUAUUCAUCAAAUAUUUUUCAGUGGUCAACUCAGUGAUUUAGUCGAUCAAAACAACUGCUAGACUCAUCAACCUUUUAAUAGAAUAAACAUGCAGGUUUUGUUUAAAGUCAGAAAGAGUUACCUCUUUUUCAGCUUCUUCAUCAUCAGAUUUUUCCAUGAAAGCAAACAUUGCAUCAAACACAUCCUCAUCAUCUUUCACUGCAAACAUGGAGGUAUCUUCAGGAUGUUCUAACUCUUCUGAGUCGCUUGAAGACUCCCUCCAGACAACAAGGACCUUCUUCACAACAUAAUCAGCAACAACUUUUCUUCCUUUCUUAUCAGGGACCAGAUCCCUUCUCUUGUCUUUGUCUCCUCCAUCCUUGACAUAGUCUUUAUAUUCAAGUUUGUGCAUAGCGCAAUCUCUGAUAAAAUGCCCUGGUUUUCCACACUUGUGGCAUAAGUCAUUUGCAUUAGCAGCCCUGCUAGAGUUUCCUAUCUUCCUGAAACCCCCUUGCUUCCUCACGAUUUUCUGAAAUCUUCUAGUCAGAUAUGUGUAACACCCCGUAUUUUACGUGUACAAGUUCUACGCAUAUGGAACUUGAUUUAGCUUGGUGGUAUAAGUAAUGAACUUGAUUUCCUAGUUGAAUGGUGACAAUAAAGAAGGUAUAAGGGUAACACCUUUACAUUGCAAUAUUGCACGAUCAAGUGAACGUUAAAUUUUAGAAGUAUUUAAAUUAUGGAUCGAAGGGUUAUAUGUAAGUCUAAAAGUUAAGGUGAUCAAGUGUAUAUAAGUUUUGAGUUAAACUAAGGAGAUUACGCUCGGAAAACGAAUAAAAGAAUUGAGGUGCUUGUUGCACUUUAUAAAGCUAGCAGGUGUCACCUACUUGCUUAUCUCAAAUGGGCUAGGUAGAUGGGGAAGAUUAGUUCAUGCAUUAGUGGGCUCACUUGAGGCCCAAAUUAAAUAAAAAGGAAAAAGGGAAUGGGGAUGAGGCCUUACACCAAUCUGUCCAAUUCCAACUACUUGAGCCUAAUAAAGAUUAAGACCCAAAUUAAGGGUAUAAUUCUGGCCCAUGGCUUAAUAUUAGAAAGGGGAAAGAUUGCAGCCCAAGAUGAGUACAUAAAGGGCCCAUCUUGUGUAUAUAUAAUUCCAAGCAGAUGCAUCACCUACUUGGACCACUUUGACAAAUUAGUGGCUGAUAUUAAAACGUAAGAGGUGGGGAAAAAUAAGACCUUUAUAAUCCCCAAGUUGCUGGCCAUUUCUUCACUUUUAAGAAUAGAUAAAAAAAAUCAGAUUUCUCUCUAAGCUUCUCCUUUCUCUUUCAAAGCAUAGCAGUAGCCACAAGUUUCCUAGGGUUCUUGGAUAAACCCAAGCCCUUGCAAGGGAAGCUCAAGUUAUUGAAGAGUUAAAGUUAAAAGAAAACGAGUUAUAAGAAUUAAGGUAAAGUGACUUCCCUAUCUUUGUCUUCCUUAAACACGAGUCUAAGUAUGAUAUUUUAAGUAUACUGUUGAUAAGAACUCGUGGGAUGAUGAUGGGAAACUAUAGUUUCACGUACUCUAUUGUAUGUUGGAUUGUUAGGACUGUUUUGGGACAGGUUGAUGUGUAUACAUAUUGGGGACAGCUUGGUUGAUGUCUGAAAAGGGUGUAAAUUGUUGAUAUUAAAAUAUAGUUGUGUAGUGUACAAAUGCAAUAAAAGAAGACGGGGAUUGAAAGAACAUCCUUAGUUUAGUAAUUACGGGUUUGCUGCUCGAGCAUUAUUAUUGAGUGAGAUUGGACUGCCUAAGCAUGUUAGUAACUACUAAUACUAGUGUAUCACCUACUAUAUUGUAGAUAAGUAUUUGAAAAGAAAGGAAGGUACUUCAAGGUAACUACAAGGUGGUACAACAAGGUAUGUAAGACUUUUCAAUUUCCGACUAAUUGACAUGAAAUCUAGACUCGCCCUCAACGCAUAGAGGCAGCCUACCAGCUCCAACACGACUUAUUAUCUUGUUCUCACUCUUUAACAUGUCUACACGUUCCAAUACAUGUUCAUUGUCAAAUCUGUACAUAUACAUUGAAUACCCUGUAUGAGUUCUCCUUUUAACUAAAUAAGGUCCAUAUUUUAUUUCAGCUCCUAUGCAUUUCACUAAUUGUGUAACUACUCUCUACUUUGUUGUUCUUGCAUUAUAUGAUUAUUACAUGUCACUUGUUGACUACAUAGUCCCACAACUCGAAAAUGCUAUGACCACCAAAAGAAUCAUCUCAAAUGUUAAUGGAAAGAUAUUAAAUGAAUUUACUUAUUGAUGGGUGGUAUCCCAGGGGUGGAAGAAUCACCUAGCAUGGGUCGAUCCCAAUAUUACGGGUGGUAUCCCAGGGGUUAAAGGAAAGUCUAGCAUGGGUCGAUCCCGAUUUAUAUGUCUACCACUGAUCAGCUGGUCAUUUGUAUUAUAUGUUGUGCAUAGAGAGUAAAGUAAAGAAUGAUAAAGUAAAGAAAAGAAUGUAAAGUACCUGAUUCCAUAAUAUGAGAAAAGUUGGUCUUGUAUUCUUACAUUGGUAUAUGAUUUCAUUUGAGUUCUUAUUUCACAUAUAAUACUUUAUGCCUUAUAUACUCAGUACAUUCUCCCGUACUAACGGCUCUCUCGGGGGACCUGCAAUUCCUAUUGCAGGUCUAAGAGCUAGUAGAUCUCCCCAGUAGGAGAACAGGACAUCCAUCGGCUAUUGGUGAGCUCCAGGUUGAUUCGGGGCUUUCCGAGUCUAUAGCAUGUAUUUUGGUAUUGUAUAGUAGCUGAGUGUAAGGCGGGGCCUGUCCCGACCUUAACCCCAUAAUGUUUUAUCAUUUAAAGGCUUUGUAGACUAUCUAUAGUGAAGUGUGGUUGUGCCUCGUGUCUUAGACAUCAUGGUCCCAACGGCCAAGUCAUGUGCACUUUCUUUUGGCUUGUUAAUACUAUCUACUUUCAUGAAAACACAUGUUAUCCACUAUGGCAGAACCUUUAAAUGUUCAUAGAUAUAGCAUGAUUAGUGGUUGGUCCUCCCGAGCCUUCUCGGCAACGGGUGCCAGUUCGCCUUAAUGGGAUUUUGGGCGUGACAAUAUGUCAUAUCUUCAUCUUAUUUAAACACUUCACUUGAUGUCACUUUGAGUGCUAGUGACUUGUCCCUCUACACCUCCUUAUUUGAAGUUUCCUGAUUUAUGUUCAUCUUGUGAGUUUGAAGAUUUCCAAUCAAGGCAUCCAUUGUCAGCACCUUUAGGUCCUUAGCCUCACUAAUAUCAACUUUACUUGCCCAUGACUUAGGAAGAAUUCUAAGUAUCUUCAUGACUUGUUUACUUGGAUGAAUGGGCUCUCCCAGGCAACACAACUCAUUUGUGAUAGAUGAGAAUCUGGUGUUCAUAUCAUGAAUGGCUUCUCCCUCCUUCAUGGUGAAGUUUUCAUACUGAGUAGUGAGCAUGUCCACCUUUGAUUCCUUCACUUGCUUAGUCCCUUCAUGAAUAGUUUUGAGAUAGCCCCAGAUUUCUUUAACUAAUUCAUACGUGGAAAUUCGAUUAUAUUCCUCAGCUUCUAUGCCACACACCAAUAAUUUAUUUGCCUUGUAGUUAUUCUCAAUCUUCUUUCUAUCAGCCUCAGUGUACUGUUGUCAAGUUUAGGGAAUAAAUCUAGUAAUGUCUCCUUCCUUCACUUCAGCUAUAGGAGCAUAGGGACCAUCAAGCACAACAUCACAUAGCUCAUUGUCCUUAGCCAAAAUAAAAUCAUGUUUUCUAUUCUUCCACCAACUGUAGAACUGGCCGUUAAAACGAGGUGGCCUAGUUGAUGAUUGUCUUUCCUCCAAAUUUAGUGGAGCAAUCGUUCUUCUAUAUGAUUCUCUUUUGGUGAUAAAAAGUUAGAGAGCCCAGGCUCUAAUACCGAUUGUUAGAAUGUAUGCGUCCACUAUACGUCAACAGAACAAGUCUCUUGACUCAAUAAGAACAGUAACUAAAAUAAAUACAUUAAUAUAAACAACAUAAGUAGUUUACGUGGAAACCCUCUCGCUCAAGGGAGGAAAAAACCACGACAUGUACUCACAGAAUUUCAACUCAACUCCAUUAUCAUCAAGGAGCAAAGAUUCAUAUUACAAGCUCUUGCAAUCUAGGAAGUUAACUCUAAAUCUAUUCUCCCUUACUGUAAUAGCUCUGUUACGAACAAACUUCAAAGCAACAUCUUAGUUGCCCACUAAAUCAACUAAUCCUAAUCGAUUUACACUUUAUUAACUCACCAUAGCUAACUCUAGCUACAACUCAGAAUCAAUGUUGAAGACACGAACUAAUCUGAUUCCUUUAUAACACAGGAAUAAAUCUACAAGAAUAACCACAGAAAUAUAAACCUAUAACAACUAAGAACAAUGACAACUCUAUCAGGUCCCUUGUUGUUCUUGAGGAGAAUAUUUCUAGAGAGAAUGGUUUUUGCUCUUUCCAAACAUUCAGAAUGCAAGAACUAGAUUGUGUCCAUUUGAUAUAAAGCUUAUAUGUGAUGGACACAAAACCCUAGAAGAAAUGCAAUUGGUUGACAACCCUGCCAUUCUGCACCAGACGCACACCACCUAAUGAAGAUGGCAGGGUGUGCAGAGUAUUUUUUCAGCUGUCCUUUUCUCGUACAUGCUCAUAUGGGAUCAAUUCCCCUUAUCAUAUCUCAUAGUUUGUCAAAUCAUCAAAACUACAUAUUAACAACUGGAAUUUCAAUCCUCCAAACUUUAGCAUAGUCCUAAUACGGGGCUCAUCAUAGAGAGGUGUUCCCGCAUCGCAUGCCUCAUACUUUCAUUAUCUUGCUUCCUUUUCAAUCCAUACUCAUAUUUUGUUUCUCUUUUUGCAUUAUAUUAGCUUACCUACAUAAAUUAUGCACAAAACACAUGAAUAUACACGAGUUUAUUAUAAAAGCUCAAGCUAAAAUAUUGGUAAUAUGCGACACUUGGAUGUAUAAAUAUCCUCAAGAUCAUCAUCCCACACUUAGAGCUUUGUUCGUUCUCAAACAACUCAUUGUAUACCUCACAAAACUUAAUGACAUAAACAUACCAAUUGAAUAAAUGUACACACACUCAUAUUCGCUCAACAACUUACUUAUGAUAUCUAAUUUACUCAUUUAAACACAAUUUAUUGAAAAUAAAAAAAUCCUUCAUGCAAAAAUAAAAAACCUCUCAAACUAUCUCUUUGCAAAAAAAAUAUAGGACCAAUAUGAUUAUGUGCAAGUAUAAAAAUCAUUAGUUUAUCCAAUUCUGACAAUUAAGUGCCCUCAGUACUAUUAAAAAUGAUAUUACAUUUUCACACUGCAAAUAUGUACUCAAAUUAGGGACAUAAUCAUACACUCUCUCUCUCAAAGAAAUAUACCAAAAAUCUCUACAUUUGCCCUUAGUGUAUUGCUUAACAAACCAAAUUACCUAAUUGUAGGAUAAAAAUGACUUUUUUGGUUGUAAUGUGAGCAAAGGAAUAGGUAGAAAUUAUUUGACAAAUAGUGACUAGCUAUUACAAUCCCCAUCUAUUAUCCAACCAUGCUAUCAACUCAAAACAGUACAACUCAAUAAACAACAGUACAAGGAAAAGAGAUCCAUAUAGUAAUCUAGCAAAAACAAAGGGAUGAUUUUCCCUACCUCGCACCAAAACAAUAACAUUUUCCUCAUUACAUAAAGCCUAAAUCACUAAACAAAAGUGAGGUAGGAGAACUCAUUAGGUCUCUAAUCAAAGUCAUAAUCGGGAUAAUACGGUGGGUUGCCUAUCUCUAAAUCUUCUUCAUCAAACUCCUCUCUCUCAAUGCUCGAGUCCUUGAAAACCUACUUGUGGGACUAUGAGGGGCAUGAAAGGUCGGCAGAGCAUGUGAACUUUGUCUCGUGUGGGACCUCUUAUGGCUUUGGAUGGAUAAGGCUACCUUGACUUUGUUCCCUUUAAAUGUCAUGGUACCUUAAACACUUUGCGUGCAUGAUUACCCACUCCUCGGUUUCUUUUGACGCCUACCACCGGUAAAACUCUACAUGAAAUACACCAAAAAUUGUUAGAAAGAUGUGUUGCCUCCUAUAAAACGUCUUAACUUUGAUCAUGACACGACACAUAUUUUUGUAUAUUUGUUCCCAACAAGAGCAAUAAUUUUCAUCAUGGCACAAUAUAUCUUUUUAUAUAUUUGUUUUACUCUAUUUUACAUCCUAUACUAUUAGGGUUUCCUCUCAAGUAGCGCUUGAUUUGAUUUUGCAGCAUGACGUACCUCAAAUCAAUCAUUAGACAAAUGAAUUGAGGUAUUUUGCAUGUUUGAAUCCUCAACCAAAUGUGGCUUAUAUCUAUGCCUAUUUACCAUGAAUGUGUCAUAUUUAUCUUCUUUUCAUAGCUCAAUAGCCUCAUGCAGAGUUAUGGCACGCUCCGAGCCUACACCCUGGAAGUGGUUGGCAUACAAGAACCAUUGAUGGUCCCUAAGUGAACCCUUGGCCUGAUUGGAUACUUAACGGAAGACUUACUCAAGAAAUGAUAGGCUCAAAAUAUAAUUUAAUCAGUUAAGCUCAAAUACUCGUCUCAUAAAAUUUAGAAAAUACUCAUCUUUAUACUUAUAGUUUGUAAAACAACUUAAAUAGAGUAAAUAUUGAGAGACACCUCGACUUUGGCUCUCUAUGAAGCCUCUACUAUUAAACAAAUAUGUUGGGACAAGACUCAUGUCAUCUCAAAACUACUAACUAGAAAGUAAAUGUGAAGUCCUCCGGAAUACAAUGAGGCUCACCAAAAUCUAGCUGGAGUGUAGAGUGAUCUCAACGAAGCGCAUGUUGAUGAUCAUGAACACCUGUAGCUGCAUCAUAAAAAGAUGCAGAUUGAAUUACAUUAGUAAUUUGAAUGUAUGAGUAUGUUAUAUAGUCGAAGCGAAAUAACUGAAUAAGAGGACUGCAAUAGAUAAAUAUAUACUCAAGCUGAAUGUAAAGAAAUAAAGGAGUUAAAUCAUUUAUAGCCUUACAAAAUACUUACUCAUCUCGGAACUCAACAUAAUAAGUGAUAUAUUAAAUACACUUUAACUCUAUUAAGAGAUUUUCUAACCGAUAACCAUCACUAUGAGCUACGUGAUGAUAUAACGUCUUGUCCACGCUGUCAGAAUUGUCAUAUAUCGUGUCGGGAUAUAGAACCUCGCAAAUAAGUGGAUCCACUAAGAAAUAAUGAUGCAUAUAAAAUGAAUGAUCAUGUACCAAUGUUGGCAAGGCAUGGUUUAUGGGGGUUGUGAGUUGUCUGAACUCUCCCCCAUAUCGAUAUUCCAUACUACUCCCAAUAAUAUAUACUCUUUCUCAAAUAUAUAAAACAUACACUUUCUCUAGUUUGAGAUAAUUGAUCAAACUAUCCUCUCAAAAAAGGUAACUGCUUUGAGAUAUCACUGAAACUCAUUGCUCAUUUAUAAAAUAAGGUUUCUCUUUGCUCAAUGUUAAAAUACAUUUCGGGUUGAGAUAAUUACUCAAAAGGGGCCUCUUUAAGAGGUAACUGCUCUGUACUCAAUCUUAAAAAUUCUAUUAACUUUUCUCAAAAUAAUAUUCUCUUUCUCCAUGUAAAAAUGAAACAUUUGGAAAAUACUUAGUUCCCUUAUACUCUUGCUUAAAUCUUGGUUAAGCUAUUUCUCAAACUCAUCUUUACUUUCUCAAAACUCGAUUUAAACAAUUAUGUUUUGUUUAAAAUAUUCUUAAUAAUAACUCAAUGAAUACUCAGAAAAUAGGGUUCAUGUUGAAAAAUAGACAUGAACAAUCAACUCAAGAAUCUCAAUGCCAAGAUAUAACAACUCACUAAUCAUUUAAUAAUCGGUAACUCAAGAAGUCAUAACUCAAUAUCAACGCAUCUCAAGAAUAACGAAAUCUAAGGAUAGAACCCUAGAUUACUCUUUUACUGAUUUAAAAGAAGACGCUGGGCAUGAGGACGAACUAGUCCAACACUAUGAUAGUCUUACAUACCUGGAAGAAUAAAGUUCUUGGCGAAAUCGAUGAAGCUCGAAACCCUAAAUUUUAUCCUCUUGGAAACUUGCUCUAAUGACUUGAAGUGUUAAUGAAUGUAACAAAACUGAUUAACACCUUCCAAGCCCUUAACUAGGUGUAUAACAUCGUAGUUUCAUCUUAGAGUAAGGGUUAAAAUGACAUAGCUUAAGUACCAAACGCAUAGGGGAAAGACCAAAAUGACCCCAACUUAAAAAUUGAUGGAGUGACCUUCAAGGACGGCUUCACAGACCGUUUAAGGCUUCACGGUCUCUGAGGUCGUAUAGCCGUCCGUGAACCUUUGCAAGUCUGACGGGACCUUACUAAAAUAAGCAUAAUGUUUUACUCUAAACUUGAAAUGAGACAAUCUUGGUGGAGUUGGAAAGAUGACUAAAAGAUCUUUAAUUUGAUAGGUUAUGGACCACCUAAUUAAUUAUGAGUUAAGAGAUAUUGUUGCUUGAAGUUUUGAGGUAGUUGGGGGUCAUGUCCUAGUAGACUUAUGCUUUCAAUUGAACUAGUAGAGGCUUAUUUCAGACAGUAGAAAUGUAGUUUCAUGGAAUAUUUCAAUUUUUGCUUAGUUUAUUUAUGUUAUGCUUUGAUAUGUAUUCUAAUGGUUGGCUUAGGAUCACUCGUGGUUUUAGGUAUCAUUUCUCGAUUGGGGUAUAGACUCUGAUCAUGACAAACUUUGUAUUAGAGUAUAAGGUUUAACUGUCCUAGUGUCUAAAGAGCCACAUCUAGUAAAGUAUUUUUUUAUGGGUGUAAAGCGCGCUAUACUUACAAGGGGAGGCUACAAGAAGUUUAGGAAAUAUUUCUCCCAUUUCAUACUUUAGAUCGUACAACAAAACUGUCCCCCAAGAAACAUAUGCAUAUUCAUGUGUUGCUCUAAUUUCUCUAACUAUUCCUUAUCUUUAAAGUGAUAGAAGUAGUAAAGCUUAAUUACAACUUGUCACGCCCCGAGCCUACACCCUAGACGUGGUCGGCACUCGAGAACCAUUGUUGGUCCCUAAGAGAACCCUUGGCCUGACACAAUAGUCAGCGGAAGACUUACUAAAAAAUAUAUGAACUCAAAAUUAAGGCUUUACUCAUUUGCCUUAAAAAUAAAUAAACUCAGAAAUGUAUAGAAACAUUCAACUGGCCAAAGAAGGCAACUCAAGUCAUAACAUUAACAAUGGGAAUGGAAAAAACUUCUCAAAACACUACUGUCCAUAAAGCCUCUAAUAACUAUGAUGGACAUCGGGAUAAGACCCACGACAUUCUAACAAAACAAAACUGAAAAUCUCAAUGUGAAAGCCUCCGGAAAGCAAGGAGGCUCACCAAAGGUAGCUAGAAUACAACUGGAUCAAAGGAGCAUUGUUGAUGAUCCUGAAUACAUGUCUCUGCAUCAUAAAACGAUGCAGGUCGAAUGACAUCAGUACAUUGAAUGUACGAGCAUGUAAGGGGAAUACUGAACAUAACAUAUAAGCUUGAAUUGAUAAAAGGAAAUCAUACUCACCUCAACUUAACCCCACUCAACUCAAUAAGAAAUAACUGAUAAAGAUGAAAUAUAUAUAUAUAUAUAUAUAUAUAUAUAUAUCAAUCUUUCAAAACACUAAAUGGUAACUCAAAUGUAUAUAAAAAUACAAUAAUAACUCUUUACUCUUUUUUGGGAGAUUCUCUAACCGACAACCAUCACUAUGAGCUAUGUAAUGAUAAAGAGUCUCUCCCACGCAGCAAGAACGGUCAUAUACCUUGUCGGAGUAUAAGAAAUCCUCAACUAGGUGGAUCCACUUUGUCUUAUCAUUGCCAUUUAUUACAUUCGAAUGAAAUUGGGCCUAGCUCAUACAUCAUGUACAAAAGAGAAAUACAGGAAAGAAACUGAGUACAAUAAAACUCAUCCUUGAAGCAUGAGGACUCACCAAAGCUCGGAAUCCCUAGAUCAACACUUAGCCAUGAAACUGAUGAUCUUGACUGUCGGACCCUACAUUUGGGAAAAAUGUAGGCAAGAGUGUGUGUUAAUACAAAAAUGCACUAAGUAUGAUAACUAUGCACAAAAACAUUUAAAACAUGCUAAAAGGGACAUUUCAUUUCAAAGCAUGCAAUUUACCAAGUUUAAACAUCAUCGUAGCGAUAGUUGGAAACAUAAGUCAUAACAUCAUCUUCAAUGCAAGCUAGUACCAAUUUUAAAACCUUUGAAAACUACAAGAUACUUCUUGAAGCAUGUCUUAGUUCAUUAUUAACUUGUUGUGGAUAUUAGCCUUAACCGACAAGAGACCAUGUGAGCUAUGACAUGAUCCACAGUGUUUCCCAUGCCGAAAAGGGUUGGUCGACUUGCCUAAGGUAGAGCCGAUAAAUCUUAGCUUAGGUGGAUCAACUAGCUAAAUAUCUUACGGGGGCACGUAGUUUGUGGGAUAUGGAGAUUGCUAUUAGAAAUCCGGACACCACUAUGCGAAGGCUUCCAUCUCAUGAGAUAUACUUGGGAAACUCGGACUCUACUGCAUGAGAGCCUUCAAUUUGGAAGCUCGGACUCUACUACGUAAGAGCCUCCAUCUCAUAUUCAAUAUCCACUUUGUUCUAAGCAUAAAUCCCACGGAGUACUUAUUGAGUCUUGACUUAACUCAUGUCUCAUGGAAGGAUGUCCUUGACAACCAAUCCAAGUUAGUUCAUUAGGAUAGCUCUUUAGAUCAUGCGUGAGAAAAUCUUUCACCAUCCAUGAUCACUUUUACUCUUAGAUUCAAUUAGGUGAGAAAAGCCUUUCAACCUAAGAAUCCUUACUAUGUGAGAAAACCUUUCAAAUUAAUGUUAAUAUGUGUUCAUGAGAAUUUCCUUUCAAUCAACACAACAACAAUAUCAUAAUCAUUGACACUUUACUCUCAACCAUCAUUAAAGAAUUUUCAUAGAUUUCAUAAAAACAUGCAUAAUCUCAUACUUUGCUCUUUCAAGGUUCAAAACCUACUUUCAAUCACCACAUCUAGAAUUCAAGCAUUAGAUAGGGAUUUCAUCAUAAUUUCAUGUGAUUCUAUCACCUUAUGCAUUAAUUCAUAAAAUUCCUCUUUCAUUAACAAAGACCCACAUCAUAAUAUCACAAUUGAGAAAUAUGGAAAUUACAUGGGUUCAUGGGGGAACUUCAUAAAUACCAUAAGAAAUCAUCAAUUCAUGCCUAAUAUAACUCAAUUCAAUUAAUUAAAUCAAGUUUGAAAGGAACCCAUGACUUUUCAAUCAAACCCUAAUAAUGGGGGAUUUCUAUCUUUUGAAAUUGGAGAUUUUGAAGGAACUCCAUUGAUGAAAGCUACCAUACCUUAAAAACAAAGCCCAAAAAAAUUGAUGUGUAAAAGCUUCCUUCUUGAAACCUAGCUUGAAUCUCCUUCUUAUUCUUUUUCAAGUUUCUAGAGAGAUAAAUAUUUUGAGAGGAGGAACUUCGGGGAUUUGUUUUGGGGUUUGGGAAUAAUGACUUGAAUGGGUUAGUUUUAGAGUUAAAAUCACUUAUAUAGGGGUCCUAGGCUUAGGCAAAACGACUUGGCUUUAUUUUAAUUAAGACCGAAAUUACCCAAAUAAUCCUCACUUGCCAGUGCACUGCCCAAGGACCACGUGAGGUCCCACGAACCCUGGUCCCAUUCGUGGACCAUGGGGCAGUAGCUAGGUAAGUUGCCCCCUCACCCCAAAUUCCUAAGACAACUCCACGAGCCUUCCCACGAGCCGUGAAGUGGCUCGUGAAGAGGGGUUGUUUUUGGGCAGCCUUAGGGAGGCUACUGCCUGGCCCACCACGAGUUGUGGUCCUCACAACGAUCUGUGGUGGUGGUCGUGGUUGGUGGGGCAUUGUCUAUGGGAGAGUGGACUGCCCUAGUCCACUUCCUUGGCUCUUGCCCUCUUUUGUGGCUCUAACCUUCACACUUAAACUAGUUUAGUCUACUAGUUUCCGGGGUGUUACAUUAUCUCCCCCUUGGGAACAUUCAUCCUCGAAUGACGCUCUAGACACUUUGCGGAAGUAAAGACUCAAGACUAGCAACACAUCAUGCAUGCAAUAUCAUAACAAUGCACAAAACAAAAGAGGAAACAUCAACUCCAAGCUAAACAUAUUCAAUGCACCUCAAGGAAAGUAGGAACUCUUCCUAACAACCCAAUAUGCAUGAAAUUUCAAAUUUUAUCAUCUUUAAGGAGGAACCACCUUCUCCUAGCUCAAAAGAAUACUCAACAAAAUCUCAUAGAGCCUCUAUGCAAUUUACUCUAAAAAAAACUAUAACUAAAGCAUGUUCAACAAUUCAUCUCAUGAAGCACAUAGGCACUCAUACUCAAUGCACAACAACAUGAGGAAAAUCGAUCAUAUAACUCAAUUUGUUUCAAAACAUAAGCUUUCAUGAACAUGUAUAACAUAAGGAGAUCAUGGAACACAUAAAACACACAUGACUCCAAAACAUAGAACAAACCAAGAGGAACUCAUUACCUCAAGCUAAAGUAGGAGUAGAAGGAAAGAUAUAAGGAUAUCAGGACAUCAUAUCGACCUCGGCCACCCAAGUAGAACCAUCAACUAAGUGAUUCCUCCACAACACUUUUACGGAAGGGACUUCUUUAUUUCUCAACUUCUUAACUUGCCGGUCCAUAAUCUCAACCGACUCUUCCUCAUAAGAAAGACUUUCAUCAACUCUCAACCCUUCUAGGGAAACUAUGGAUGUCGGGUCUCCAACAGACUUCUAGAGACAUGGAAAACUGGAUGCACGGAUGUCAAAUCACUUGGAAAAUCUAACUCACAAACAACCUUACCAACACGUCUCAAAAUAUCAUAUGGGCCUACAAAACGGGGACUAAGCUUCCCUUUCCUUUUCAAACCUCGUCACACCCUUCGUAGGUGAAAUUUUUCAGUAAAACCCAAAUCAUGAACAUUAGGGACACUCAAUAACCUUGUUAUCUAAGCACACUAUCUCUCCCUUGGGAGAAAGCCUCAUCGAAUUUCAUAAGCAUCGUUUCUUUCAAGUCAACCAAAAUUGAAUCAAGCCCUUUCUUAGCUUUCAUAUUCACCACCACAGAUGAUUCGGACCCAUUGUAAACCAUAACACCACCCUUGGUGGAAUACACUAAUUGAACACUUAAUCGAGCCAACUUAUGAAUAUCUCGAACCAACUCUUUCUUUUCUUCACAUAUAUGAGCCACACUACCAUAGACAAUCUACUAACAUCAUCCGCUACCCUAUUACAUGUACCAGGAUGAUAAAGAACACUCAUGUCUAGAUCUCUCAAUAACCCCAACCACCUUCCUUGGCUAAGAUUCAAUUUUUUUUGAUUGAGCAUCAUUACGAACAUAUCAAGGUAUUGUCCAAACACCCUAUUCAUCAAAUUCAUAAACGCCGCCAAAGCAUUAGUCAACCCAAACGACAUUACCAAAGAACUCAUAAUGACCAUACCGGGUUCUAAAAGUCAUCUUUGGAAUAUCAUCCCCUCUCACCCUCAAUAAGUGAUAACCCGACCGAAGAUCAAUCUUAGAGAAAUAAAUAGCCCCUUGAAGUUGGUCAAACAAAAAUCUAUUUCCCUCACUCUAACUAGGUGGUAAAAGCAACCUUUAGCCAUCAUCCUUCUAGCCUUCAUAUAAGAAACAACUAACCUCUAGGCAUAGAACUUUCCCCUUCCAUUCAAGGAUAGGCUCAUUUGGAAAUUGAAACUUGACUACACAAGUUCUACAAUCAAUAGAAACAUAACAAUGGUACAACCAAUUCUUACUAAGAAUACCAUCAAAGUAUAACAUGUCAAGCUCUACCAAGUCAACAAGAGUAACUCUAUGGGCUAACGAAACAUGACACUUCAUAUAAACCCUCUUAGCCAUAAUAGAAUUACCAACAUGAGUAGAAACAGAAAAAGGUUCUAACAAUACAUUCGGAGGAACAUCAAACCUCAUAGCCACAUAUGGCGUCACAAAAGAUAAAGUAGCACCGGGAUAUAAUAAAACAUACACAUCAAGUUGAAAAAAAAUUAACAUACCAGUAAAUACAUCUGGGGAACUCUCUUGGUCAUCUCUAGAUUGGAGUGCAUAAAGGUGGUUUUGCUUGGGAGCAUUAGAACUCGAACCACUAGGAGGAGUUUGCUUGCCCUCUCUUCUUUUAGCCUUAAGUAUUGGGAAAUCCCUCAUCUUGUGACCACUCUUACCACAACCAUAACAAACAUUCAUGCCGGAUAGACACUAACCCUCAUGCCUUCUUCUACACCUAGCACAAUCCGACCCUAAAAACCUAUUACCACUUCCUUGAGACUUAGGGUUAGACACCCUCUCUUUAUUAAACCUCGGAGGAACCUUAGAAGAACCUUGUCUGGAGAACCUUUGUUGAAAUCUAAGACGACCAUGUCCAUCGGACCUUUUGUGAGAGGAAUUAUCAUCAUCAAUUUUAGACCUCUUUUUCUCCCUAGAUCUCCCUUUAAGUUUCUCCUUUUUCAAAUCUUGGGCAUAAACCAAAGGACGAGAAAUAUCCAUAUCUUGAUCAAGCAUAGUUGUACAACAUUCUUUCACUACUAAGUCGGACACACCCAAUAUAUAUAAACUUACUCAUUAUCGACCUAGGGUCAGCCACUAUGGAUGAAGCAUACCUUGACAACUGAGUGAACCUCCAAGCAUAGUCCUAAACACUUAUGUUACCAAGAAAAAAAAAAGAUCCCCCGUUCGGAAUUUAAUUAUGCUCCCUGCCCCCCUUUCACAGAAAAUGGAGAGAUGAAUAUAUUUAUUACCGAAGGUUAAUAAACUCAAGUACCCUAGACUCUUUCAUCUCCAAAGGGUAAAACCUAUCAAGAAAACCAUUCUUAAACCUUUCCCACUCCAUAGGACCCACUUCUACCGUCCUCGCUUCUUUUCAUUGGUUGAACCAAAUCUGAGCAACCCCUUAAGUUGAUAAGCAGCCAAUUUCACCCUCUCUACCUGAGUCACUCCCAAAAAGUCCAACACCCUAUAGACAUAAUCUAUAAACUGUUGAGGAUCUUCCUCCAUCUUUGACCGAUGAAAUUCUGGGGAUUUUGUCCAGACUUGGGUCAACAUUUGAAAAGCAAACCUAAACUCCGCAUUAGUCACUUGAUCGGUCUAAGGGUCGAUCGGAACUUGAGGAGCUCCUUGGUCAACCUUGUCUCUCUCAAUUCCUUUAGUGAAAGCUCCUUCAGUAGUCAUGUCCUAUAGACCACCGGGUAAGGAUUAUGAGAGAGAACUUAUAGAGUUGAACUUUAUGGCACGACUUAAGAGUAAUGAAGGAAGUAGAGUUUCAUAAACAUCUUGUAGCCUCUCAUUCAUAAAUAUGGUGCGAUUCACACUCAUGAACAAGACUCUACUAGACGUGGCUUAUGAGACAUCAGCUUAGGAUCAUUCUAAAUCUUCUGCUCUGAUUACCAAGUUUGUCACGACCCAAGGGUACCACCUAAAUGUAACAUGGCGUAUAAAACCCCGAAGGACUCUAUAAAAGCCACUUAGCUCUCAUAACAUAAGAAAUAGAACAAUUUAGAGUAAAACAAUAUUUAUAGAAAAGUGGAAGUUUAGAUACUUUGUCUCAUCAUAGCCAUCUAUAACAAUCGAAUGAAAUUGGGCCUAGCCCACACAUCAUGUCCAAAAGAGAAAUACAUGAAAGAAACUAAAUACAAUAAAACUCCGUCCUCGAAGAAUAAGGACUCACCAAAGCUCGAAAUCCCUAGAUCCACACUUAGCCACGAAACUGAUGACCCUGCCUGUCGCACCCUACAUUUGAAAAAAUGUAGGCAAGAAUAUGCGUUAGUACAAAAAUGUACUAAGUAUGAUAAUUAUGCAUAAAAACAUUUAAAACAUGCUAAAAGGGACAUUUCAUUUCAAAGAAUGCAAUUUACCAAGUUUAAACAACAUUAUAUAGAUAGUUGGAAAACAUAAGUCAUAACACCAUCUUCAAUGCAAGCUAGCACCAUCUUUAAAACCUUUGAACACUGUGAGAUACUUCUUGAAGCAUAUCUUAGUUCAUUAUUAUCUUGAUGUGGGAAUUAGCCUUAACCGACAAGAGACCAUGUGAGCUAUAACAUGAUCCCCGGAGUUUUCCACACCGAAAAGGGUUGGUCUACUUGCCUAAGGUAGAACCGGUAACUCUUAGCUUAGGUGGAUCCACUAGCAAAAUAUGAUACAGAGGCACGUAGUUUAUGAGAUACGGUGAUUGCUACUAGAAAGCCGGACUCCACUACGUGAAGACUUCCAUCUCAUGAGAUAUACUUGGGAAACCCAGACUCUACUACGUGAGAGUUCCCAUUUUGGAAGCCCAGACUCUACUACGUGAGAGCCUUCAAUUUGGAAGCUCGGACUCUACUAUGUAAGACCCUCCAACUCAUAUUCAAUAUCCACUCAGUGCUAAGCAUAAAUCCCACAGAGUACUUAUUAAGUCUUGACUUAACUCAUAUCUCAUGGAAGGAUAUCCUUGACAACCAAUAUAAGUUAGUUCAUUAGGAUAGCUCUUUAGACCAUGCGUGAGAAAACCUUUCACCAUCCAUGAUCACUUUUACUCUUAGAUUCAAUUAGGUAGAGAAAAGCCUUUCAACCUAAGAAUCCUACUAUGUGAGAAAACCUUUCACAUUAAUGUUCAUAUGUGUUCAUGAGAAUGUACUUUCAAUCAACACAACAACAAUAUCAUAACCAUUGACACUUUACUCUCAAAGCAUUCUUAAAGCAUUUUCAUAGAUUUCAUAAAAACAUGCAUAAUCUCAUACUUUGCUCUUUCAAGGUUCAAAACCUACUUUCAAUCACCACAUCUAGAAAUCAAGCAUUAGAUAGGGAUUUCAUCAUAAUUCAUGUGAUUCUAUCACCUUAUGCAUUAAUUCAUAAAAUUCCUCUUUCAUCGACAAAGACCCACAUCAUAAGAAAACAAUUGAGAAAUAUGGAAAUUACAUGGGUUGAUGGGGGGAACUUCAGAAAAACCAUAAUAAAUCAUCAAUUCAUGCUUAAUAUAACUCAAUUCAAUUAAUUAAAUCAAGUUUGAAAGGAACCCAUGACUUUUGAAUCAAACCCUAAUAAUGAGGGAUUUCUAUCUUUUGAAAUUGGAGAUUUUGAGGGAACUCCAUGGAUGAAAGCUACUAUAUAUUAAAACAAACCCCAAAGAAAUUGAUGUGUAAAAGCUUGCUUCUUGAAACCUAGCUUGAAUCUCCUUCUUAUUCUUCUUCAAGUUUCUAGAGAGAUAAAUAUUUUAAGAGGAGGAACUUUGGGGAUUUGUUUUGGGUUUUGGGUUUUGGGUUUUGGGUUUUGGGAAUAAUUAUUUGAAUGGGUUAGUUUUAGAGUUAAAAUCACUUAUAUAGGGGUCCUAGGCUUAGGCAAAACGACUUGGAUUUAUUUUAAUUAAAUAUGAAAUUACCCAAAUAACCCUCGCUUGCUAGUGCACUGCCCAAGGACCACCUGAGGUCCCACGAGCCAUGGUCUUCACCACGAGCCGUGGUCCACUCUGUGGACCAUGGGUCAAUAGCUAGGUAAGUUUCCCUCUCACCCCAAAAUCCUAAGGCAACUCCAUGAGCCUUCCCAUGAGCUGUGAAGUGGCUCGUGAAGAGGGGUUGUUUUUAGGCAGCCUUGGGGAGGCAACUGCCUAGCCCACCAUGAACCGUGGUCCUCACCAAGAUCCGUGGUGGUGGUCGUGGUUGAUGGAGCAGUGUCUAUGGGAGAGUGGACUACCCUAGUCCUUUCUCUUGGCUUUUGCCCUCUUGGCUCUAACCCUCACACUUAGCCCUAGUUAAGUCUACUAGUUUCUAGGGUGUUACAUAAACCUUUCUGGAAAUACUUACAAAAUUGGGGGGUGAAUUGUGCACCUCUAUCUGAAAUGAUAGAUACGAGAACUCAAUGUAAUCGGACUAUCUCCUAAAUAUACAACCUGGCAUAAUCUUCUGUUGAAUAAGUAGUCUUAAUCGGCAAGAAAUAGGAUGAUUUAGUCAUCGGAUCUACAAUCACCCAAAUCAAAUCAUAUUGACUACGAGAUCGCAGAAAACCAGUAAUGAAAUCCAUAUUGAUCAUCUUCCACUUCCAUUUCGGAAUAUCUAUAUUCUGAGCCAUGCCACCGAGCCUCUAAUGAUCUACCUUGACUUAUUGCCAAUAGACUUCUCUCAAGUCAAGAUACAUCUUUGUGGAACCGGGAUGGAUUGAAUAAGUGGAGCUAUGAGAUUCUUCCAUGAUCCUCUCUUUGAGUCCAUCCACCUUUGUUACAUACAAUCUACAUUGAUACCUCGACACACCAUCUCCCUCUUGUUCAAAAGCCAUCACUUUCUGCUUAUGAGCAUUUGUCUUCAAUUCAAGCAAAACAGGGUUUUGAUCUUGUUUCUCCUUCACUUCAGACACUAGUGAUUAUUCAACCCCAUUCAUCACUACCACUCCACCUUCAUUGGAAUCUAACAAACGAACUUGUGCAAGUAUAUGCACAUCGUUGGCUAAUUCUUUCUUUCCUUUAUCAUUAUGGGCAGUACAACCUAUGGAUAACUUAUUCAAAGCAUCAACAACAACAUUAGCCUCACUUGGGUGGUAAAGAAUACUCAUGUCAUAAUCCUUAAGUAACUCUACCCACCUCAUCUGUCUGAGGUUAAGCUCUUUCUGAGUAAAAACAUAUUGAAGACUCUUGUGAUCGGUGAACACAUCCACAUGAACACCAUAGAGAUAAUGACGCCAUAUUUUCAAGGCAAAUACUACCGCUGCCAACUCGAGAUUAAGAGUCAGGUAAUUCUUCUCAUGAAUCUUACGUUGUCUGGAGGCAUAGGCUAUAACCUUACCAUUCUGCAUCAGUACACAACCAAGUCCAACUCUAGACGCAUCACAUUAAAUAAUGAAGCCUUGUGUACCUUCUGGUAGGGUCAACAUCGGGGUAAUAAUCAACCAAGUUUUCAAUUCCUGAAAGCUCUUCUCACAAGUUUCUGACCAUUGAAACAUAGUCAUUUUCUUAGUCAACUUAGUCAACAUGAAUGAAAUAAAUGAGAACCCCUCAACAAAGCUUCUACAAUUACCAGCCAAUCCUAAGAAACUCCUUAUAUCAGUUGGAGAUGUGGGUCUAGGACAGUUCUGCACUGCUUCAAUCUUCUAAGUGUCAACUCGAAUCCCUUCACUAGACACAAUGUGGCCUUAGAACGCCACAGACUCAAGCCAAAACUCACAGUUGGAAAAUUUAGCAUACAACUCCUUAUCUUUUAGUAUUAGAAGGACUACUCUAAGAUGACUAGCAUGAUCUACCUCGUUCCUCGAAUAAAUAAGGAUGUCAUCAAUAAAUAUGAUAACAAACAUGUCAAGAUAAGGCUUAAACACUCUAUUUAUAAGACCCAUGAACGUUGCAGGAGCAUUAGUCAAGUCAAAUGACAUAAUCGGAAACUCAUAAUGACCAUAACGGAUCCUGAAUGCUAUCUUAGGGAUGACACUUUCUCUUACUCUCAAUUGAUGAUAGCCAUAUCUAAGGUCUAUCUUAGAAAAACAAGUGGAAGCCUGAAGUUGAUAAAAAAAUCAUCAAUUCUCGAAAGUGGAUACUUAUUCUUGAUAGUGACAUUGUUCAAUUGACGGUAUUCAAUACACAUUCUGAGAGAACCAUCUUUCUUCCUCACAAAUAAGACCGAAGCACCCGAAGGUGAGACACUAGGUCGAAUAAAUCCCUUAUCAAGGAUAUCUUUCAAAUGCUCUUUUAACUCUUUCAACUCUCCUGGAUCCAUUCUAUAUGGUGGACUAGAGAUAGGUCGAGUAUCAGGAAGAAUACAAAGUCUAUUUCUCUCUCAGGAGGGACUCCGUAAAAAUCAUCUAAAUAGACCUCUGGAAACUCACUCACAAUUGGAACUGAAUGAAUAGGUGGUGUCUCAACACUAGAGUCAUUAACUCGGACUAAGUGAUAUAUGCACCCCUUGAAAACUAACUUUCUGGCCUUAUGGUACGAAAUAAAAUGACCCUUAGCUAGGCACUGCUGAAUUUCUCCUCCACUCUAUAAUUGCCUUAUUAGGAAAUUAGAACUUAACUAUUCGAGUUCUACAAUCAACUCAGGCAUAACAAGCAUAAAGUCAGUCCAUACUUAGAAUAAUAUCAAAGUCCACCAUAUCUAACAUGACUAAGUCAGCCAUGGUGUCCUUGUGAUUGACAGAGAUGACACAAUCACGAUAAACUCUCUCAGCUAGAAUAGACUCACCAACAUGUGUGGAAAUAUUGAAGGGCUCAAGAAGUUGUUCGGGAAGAAUGUCAAACCUCAUAGCAACAUAUGGAGUCACAAAAAAUAGACUCGCACCUGGAUCAAGCAAUGCAUAUACGUCAAAAGUAAAGACUUUGGUUAUACCAGUGACAACAUCUGGCGAAUUCUCCUGCUUGUAGAGACUGGUCAUAGCGUAUAUAUGAUUAGAUCCUCCAUUUGUCCCUGAAGUAGCUAUUCUAGGUGCACCUCUGUCAGGCGGAGCCGCUGAAGAAGAUUGGGCUCUAUUGCCCCAAUUACCAUUUCCCUGUCGGUUCUUCGGGCACUCUCUCAUGAAGUAAACAUCUUGACCACACUUGAAGCAACCAGUAGAGCCAUCCCGACACGCUCCUAGGUGGUUUCUACCACACUUAGCACAAGUAGGGGUCCAGUUGGCCCCUUGUGCCACACUACCCUGAGAUUGAGGAGGCCUAGCUUUGAAGUUCUGCGAAUUCAAAUUCUGGAACUCACUUCUAUUCUUUGGUGCAAGUGCACUAGCAGAUGAUAGAGCAUGCCAAGUUGGCCUUUGCAGAAAAGAUGACCGGUUCACAUUUCCGGCCUUUUGCUGCCCGGAAUCAUUACAUGUUGUCUUAGCCUUCUUGUUUCAAAACUCUUCCUUAUCUCUGAGUUUAUCUUCCUCAACCUGUUGUACAUGGAUCAUGAGCCUGGCUAUGUACAUGUCUCCUAUCAGCAUAGUUAUCUUGCCCUCCUUACUUGACAAGCGAGACAACCCAGACAUGAACAAGCUCAUCCUGUUCCUCAUAUCAACCACCAUCUUCGAAGCAUAACGGGACUGAGUUAACUUGAGGCUAUACUCAUGCACACUCAUGGAUUCCUGCUUCAAGUAAAGAAAUUAUCUUACCUUCGCCUCCCUCAAAGCCCCAUGAAUUCACUUCCAAACACAGCCCAACUCAAAAUUGGUGCCCAUUCAGCUUUACUUGACUUUUAUUGGUCGAACCAAAUUCUAGCAACACCCUUCAGUUGGUAUGCAACUAACUCCACACGCUGAACAUCUGUAACAUGCAUCACCUCACACACUUUCUACAACUCUUCCACAAAGUUUUCUGGAUCCUCAAUGAAACAUGAUCCUGUGAAGUCUAGAGGAUUCAUCCUUAAGAACUCACGAACUCUAAAUGUACAAUCACAUCCUGUCGAACCUCUCUCUCUCUU
rnacentral:lncRNA from 1 species